rnacentral:lncRNA from 1 species
UUUUUUUUUUUUUUGUUUCUGGGAUAGACCGGUUGGUUUGGUCCUCAAAACGAUCUUGAAAUUACUGGUCAAACUUUAUAAUUAGUAUCUUUAUUUUACUCAACUUAUAAAUUUAGUCCCUUAUUUUAAAUUUUAUAAUUAGUCCCUGUAUCUUACUCAACUUAUAAAUUUAGUCCCUUUUUUAUUAGUUUACCCGUCCCAACAUUAUUUUGAGUGGAUUUUUAUCUUUUUAUAUAAAUUUUAAAAACAAAUACCUAAUUUAAACUCAAAAGCAAGGCUAAAAUAUUGUUUAAAGGACCAAAAUUGAAUAAUAAAUUGGGGGUUAAGGUACUUAAAAGGUAAAAUUUUCACCAUUAUUAAUUUAUAAUUUUAUAAAUUUUAAAAGAGCUAAAAAAAAAAAAUCCAGGGCCAAGGCCACUACUUGCCCUUAGCUAUUACCCUUGUCAAAACAUGAUAUUUAGGGUUCAUUUGGUUCAAAAAUAUAUAAAAUUACGUUUUAUAAUAAGAUUACAAAAAGAAAUGCGUGAUAUAUUACAUUUAGAGAUAUUUGAUUGACAAAUAUAAGAUAACUUAGAAGCACAUUUUAUUAAAUUAUCUUUAUUAUUUUCUUAAACAAAUCUCAUUCUUUAAUUCUUUUUUAAUCUCAAUUUCUAAUAAAUAAAUCAUUAGAGUAAAUAUAAUAAUUAUAAAUUUUAUUUUAAAUCAAACUUAAAUCUUAUUUGAAAAAAAAAAUUAAGAUAAUUAAAAUAAUAAAAGAAAAAAUACAAAAUAAUAAGAUUAUGCAUUAUACUACGAGAUAAACGCUAUCUACUAAAAUGUUGAGCCGUAAGAUAAGAUUCAACCAACCGACCACAUUUACUUUCUCAACUUUACCAUUUCAAUCAAAACUAUAUUUGAUUUUUUUUUUUUUAUAAAUUUGUUAUAUAAUUAUUUUAGCUAAAUGCUUAAGUUGAACUUUUAAAGAUUUCUGACAUAGGAAAACUAUUUUUUUUUUAAAAUGAUCAACUAAGAACAACCGUCAUCAACAUUCAUCUAAUUUUUACUCGUGAACUGAAGUGAGUGAAAAACUUACUUUGAGCAACCAUUUACCCUAAAAUUUUAGCCCGCAUAAGUGUAUCAUAAUUUAAAGAAUAAUUACUCAGAUUCAACACAAAUUAAAAUAAUGCUGCAAACUCACACCAUGGAAACAAUAACAAAACAAAAACUAAGAGGUCUAAAGAAUUCAUUCACAUUCAUAUUGCCAUUGCAGGCAUUUUUUUCCAUUUCUUUUAAUUGUAAUCUCAACCUAAGAACGAUAACAGGGUCUCUUUCUCAUCUCAUAAAAGUCUAUCAAAUUCUGCUUGAGAUGGAAAUUAGGCCACAUCCGAUAGACACCAUUACUGGUACAAAAAGAAUUUCCAUGUCAAAAGUGGAGGUGAAAAGGUUCCAUUUUUUCCCCCAUGUUCCAAAAAGACAACACAUUAUAUUGUAACAACCAUAGGUCUAUUUGUCUAUGAUAUAAAUGGGGCCAUCAUCAAAAGAUUUCAAUAGAACUAGAGUCUGUUAUGUUGUCUCGAAUUGACUCUGCCUGUUCUCGGUGUCUCCGUUGAUAAAAAUUCAGUCAUUCACUAAUAAUACCUGAUACCCAAGGAACCAUAACAGGUGCUUUUGGGUGUCUGUCUCGAUAUUGUUCGGAAUAUCGGUUUUUAAAGUUCAAUCUUGGCUUCUCUGACUGCAAAAUUUUUGUUUAAAAUUCGGAUUAGCUUUUACGUUGCAAAGAAGUGUAACUUGAUGGUAAAAGUACCAUGAAGGCCUCCUAUAGUCGGAGUCAAAUUGCAUUUUGCCUCUUCUACUGAAAAAAUGGCAAAUUAAUCCCUAUACAUUACAACAAAGAGCAAGUGGUCCUCCUAAAAAUUUCAAUCUAUUUUUACUGUUAAAAACUGAUCAGGCACGCCAGUUUUAACCGUACAAAUAAAUGAAAUUUUAACAAAAAAAAAGAGACUAAUUUACUCUUUGAUCUAAUGUAUAGGGACAAAUUUGCCCAUUUUUUUGAAUAAAAUGCAAUCAAACUCUUAAUACAGAAGCCUCUAUGGUACUUUUACCGUUAACUUAAUGGAUACAAAAGGAGACUUACGAAUUUCAGCCAGCAUUCCAUGUGUUUGUGUUGAUAUAUAUCUGGGGAAUAGCAACCGUUCUCUAACGGACAAUAAACCCAUAUGUUGCAUUUCUUUUCACCUGGCUUUGCAUUUUUUGCUUGAUCUAAACAAGCUUGGCAGCAAUCGGCUGCACUUUCUUUGUGGUGGGUAAGACCCCAUCUAACGGCUGCACCAUCAUAAUCCGUGUGAAGUUCAGCAUGGCAUUGUGGUGGAAGCGGCCUCCCAGCUAAAAUUUGGUCCACCUCUUCUGCAGUAUAAAAGAGUUACACCUUAGUGACAGGCUUUCUUUCGAUAUCGUUAAUAUAUCGAUUUUGCACAAUUACCUGUAUCUUCCACACCCUCAGGUUUAUCAUCAUGUUCUUGAUUAAUGACUUCAGUGGGUAUCCAAAGGCCGAUUUCUUCCGAUAGUGCAGCCCAAUUGGACUCCAAGGCUUUUACUAACAUCCCUACAAAAUGGUAUGUUCGGGUAAAGUUAACAUUCUGUAAAAAAGGAAGAAGGUUAAAGCUUUUAUCUCAAUAACAUACAAAAAGUACCGAAACAUGCUGUGUCCAGAUUACAGGUUACCUGCUUCCUCUUGCAAAAGAGUUGAAUUCAACCCCUCUCCUCCGAGGGCCAACGUUUUGGCUUCUUUUAGUUUCUCCUUGCGCCAGGUUUCAACCGCUUCUGUUAACCCGAGAAUGAUAUCAACAAAAAUAGUACAUUAUAAUGAAAAAAAAACCCGAAAAAAGCCACAGCUGAUUAGUUCGUCCCUAAACAUGGGACCUAUGCCAUUGCUGAUUACUUAACUCUUCUAACACACAGAAAAUUCUUGUAUGAUAAACAGUAACUAAUGCCUAAAAAAUUCUAACCAAACCGUGUUAGUUAAAAUCAAAUUGCGGUUGAUAUGGAAAGAGCAACACAUAGAGCAAUACAAGCUUCCAUUUCUGUCAACUCGUAAAACUAAAAAUCUUUAGACUUAGAGCUGAUCAGCAUCCAGCAGAAAAGCAUUGCCAGCUAAAAAUGAAACCAAUAAACAUUCGAUUUGGGCAAUGUCAAACCCGUGAAACUUGCACUUCCCAUCAUAAAUUAUACUUUGGCCUCAUUAAGACUAUUCCCUUGGGCUUAAAGCAAUUUUCUACCUAUUUUACAUUCCUAAACAGUCGGCAGGAGAGCAUGUAUUGAGGUACAAGUCAAAACCAACAUCUAAAAGUAAGAACACGGUCCUUUCUACACCAAAGAGAAAAGUAAACAAAAGGACAAGUACAAGUUGCUAUCCAAGUCAGUGUAAGCGACCAUGUAAAGACACCUAAAAGUAAUAAUUAUAUCUAUUUCUAAGAAGUCCAUGACUGAUUACAAUGACAAGAGAUAAAAAGGUGAUAGAACAUCAUUUAAUCAUAUAUUCGGACCCAAUAUAUUUCAUAAAGGAAUAAGGUACAAGAAAAAAUGGGAAAAAAGGUAGCAAAAUGUAAAAGCAGGAUAUGAUAAGAGGACCAUUAUAUACUAAUAUCUUACAAGUACUACACAAAAUUCUUUGAGGAUAAUUUCUCAUAAAAAAUUAAUGGACACCAACAAAAAAAGUGGGGGGUUUUCCUUUAAAUUUAUUAUCAGAAAUAUAUCCUAACCAAUGAAUCGAAAGCUUUCUUCAAUCAAGAAUCAUAAUGCAUAAUAUGAUUUCAUUGAUAAAAAAAUGUUGCAUUUCAUCUUAAUGCGAUCAGUCAAAUGAACCACAAAGUUCUGCAAAUUGUGAUUUAGUGGCUAGCUAACUUCGAGGAGAUUAUGAAUAUGAAAGAACUGAUCUAUGCUGUUAAUUGCUAUGAAUUGAAUAUAAAGCAUUUCCACCUCAGGACAAUUGGAUGAUAUUGAAUCAAUAAGAUUAGAGACCUUAGCAAGAUGAAAGGAAGGAAGAGAAAGCAUAACAAUGCCUAAGGAAAUCAAACAACAUGAAUCCUAAAGCUUACAUGCGUUAGGAAUUGAACUUCCCUAAUUUUAUAAAGCUUUUUAAGGUAGUCAAAUUAUGAAAACAUCACAAACACGCAUCACGUAUGAUGGAAAUAAAGUUUCAAAAUGGAUUUCUUCAGGAUUUAUAACAGAAUUCAAUUGGAAGCUCAUUUUCCAGCAGUCGUAAUGUUUCAACUAAAACAAGAGGGGACUAAUCAGUCUGUAAUAGGUAAAACAGCGCAACUUUAAUAUAACACCACAAGAAACCUAAUACAACUUUAAUAUAACACCACAAGAAACCUAAUACUUACCAAAUGAGGGAUAAUACCAACUCUGCAUACUCAAAAAGUGCAAUGUCAUUAUAGCAUUUCUCUCUCCUGCCGGGGGCAUAGAUAAGGGAGGGCAGGCAGUUUAAGAAAUUUAUGAAAUUACAAGUUAAUAUAAUGGUAAAAUUGUACUCCCCCCCCCCCCCAAAAAAAAAUUUAUGGCUCAUCUCUAGCAGGGCAAAGGUAAUUUUCUGGCUUCACCCUGCAUGCUAAACCAGCUAAUCACACAUCUAAAAGUUUCCUUAAUAAGAUGCAGUUUAAGACUCUGAUUCAUUCAUUAACAGAUACAAAGAUACAAUCUUUGAACUUAAACCUAACACUCCUGAAUAGGAUAAAUCAUAAAUGUUCAAUCUAUAUACUUACUAAAUAAGAACAUAUAGAAAUACAAUAACUUUAAAACUGAAAUACAAUUAAACAAAACAAUCAAAAAGUAAAAAGGGAACUAAGACACCAACCUUGCUGGUCACUGAUACUGGCAUUUGGUCUUAAACUUCUCAAUCUCUGUAAGAUUUCAUCAGUUAUCUUAUGCUUAACCGCCCGUGGCAAUUCGGCCAACGAUUCGUCACUCGAUAAUUCAUGCUUUAUUCGCUUAACCUUUAUAUAUAAAGGUCAAAUAGUAAUCUCAUAAUUAAAAGUGUUAUCACCAACAAAAUGUGAACUAUCAAAAAAAAAAAGAAAGAGGAAAUAUGGGUGUUUUUGCAUACCAAUUUAACAAGCUCUAUAGGUUCACUAGCUCUUCGAAUCUUAUCUGAUUCUUCCAUUUUCCUAAUCUGAUCUGGUGUAUACUUUACAGCUACAAAAAGAAAAAAAAAAGAACAAAAACCCAGAUAUUCAAAACACUAAACAAUACAAAAUUUCUUACAAAAACUCCAAAAAAAUUUGCGCAAAGCUGAUAAAAUUUAAAAACUUGCCAUUAUCUUUAUUUGAAUAAAUGUAGAGCGAAGAAUAAAGAGAACGAAGAACAAAGAGAGCAAUAACAAUGUUAACGAAGCAAACAAUCAGUGUUAUUCUUUUAUACGAGCACUGCCCGGAACCCAAAGCCUUGGGUCUACUUUCUCUAGCCAUUUUCCCCUCAUCCCACCAUAUCCCUUUCUCCUUUUUAUUUUCCCCUUUCCUUUUCUAAUUUCCACACCUCCCCAACAGAUCGAUUAAACAGGAAACUUUUACCAGAUCCCUGCAACCAACCAAACUUCCCUUAAACCACAGAAAAAUGGAAGACCCUUAACAGCAGUGAACUUGAUUUCCAGCUUUAUGAUUGCGUGCGUUUGAGGGUUUCAGUUUUUGUGGUUAAUAACAAAGAACUAAGAAAGGUAAUUAUUUUUUUUUUUAAGUGGGGAUUAAUUCGGUGUUGGUUGAGGGUUUCCAGUUGAUUGAUCAACAAAUUUUAGGUUUUUAAAAAGAAAAUUUUUUACCCACUUUAUCCUUUUUCUACAUUUUUUUAAAUAGACGUGAUUAUCUACAGUUCAAUAAAACACUCGCGAGUGGAUCGAGUAUGAAGAAAUAUUAUAAUUAUUAUUUUAACGAUAUUUUUAUGUACUUUUUAAAUAAAAAUUUAAAAAUUAAUGCAUCUAUAAAUCAUCCUCGUGAGUCAUGUUUAAUGAUGUUAUAAACAAAUUUGUGUAUUUAUAUUAUUAUUUAAGUUUUUCUUUAAAUUGAUGUUAAUUUUAACCGGGUCACUAUCUUAGUUAGAAAAAUUACAAAGUCAUCAACUCAGUUAUAAAAAUUAUAAAAAUAUCUUUUCAUAAUUAAAAUAAAUUAUAUUAUUUGAGGGUAUUUUAAUUUUUUAUUUAAAUAAUAAUAAUAAUAAUAAGCAUAUUAUGGAAUUUGAUCUCCAACCAAUUGCAUUAAUACAAUAUUUAAUUUACCACUAAGUUAAAGCUUUAUUUUAAUAUUUUUACAUAUUUUAAUUUUAUUAUUCACACUUUAUUUUUAAACAUACAUUUAUGUUCUGAAUUUGUGAUUUUUACACGUAUACGUGUGUGAUCAGAUUUCUAAUGUACUUUAUUAACAACUUUGAUUUUCAUGUUACCUCAAUAAGUAAAUUGCCAACUAUAAAGUUUAAGCAUAUUUUUUUAUAAGGUUUAGUUUUACCUUUAACCCUUUUUAUUUUUACACUAUUCAAAUUUAGUAUUUUUAUUUUUAAUUUUAGAUUUUUUAUAAAUAUGAACAUGAGUUCAUUGUAAGGUCAAAGAUUAGUAAAUUGUGGUAAAAGUAUCAUAGAAACUAUUGUAUUAGGGGUCGGAUUGCAUUUUACCCAUUUACACAAAAAAUGGAUAAAUUAAUCAUUGUAUAUUAGAUUAAAGAGUAUACUGGGCACUGGCCCUUCCGUUGAAAAUUCUAUCCAUUUUUGCUACUUAAAACUGGUCUAUAUACGUCAGCAUAGGGGACACGUGGUGCGCCACAUAUCACUAUUUGAUUAUUCCGUCAACCACACUAAUUUUUAACAGUACAAGUGAAUAAAAUUUUUAACAGAAAUGACCCAUUGACUUAUUAAUAUAAUGUCAAGGUUUAAUCAUCACUAAAAAAAAAAAGUUAACCCAUUAAUAUAAUAAUUCAAUAAAAAAAUUUUAUAAAUAUAAAUAUAAAUAUAUAUGAUAUCUAAACAUUUUAAUCUUCACUCGAACCAAAAUUCAAUCCUAUCAACUUAAGUUUAAUCUUAAAAUUCACUCGAAUUUCAAAUCAUAUAAAUUAAAAUAAUUUAAAAUUUUAUAUAUAAAUUAGAUCUAUUAAAAACACUAUUAAUAUAAUAUUUCUUUAUAAUUUGGUUUAUCUAUAAAUUCUUAAUCGAGUUAAUUAUAUAUAAAUUUAGAUAAUAAUGGUUAUAAAGUACAAAUUAUGUACCUAAAAUUAUACCAAGUCUUCAUAUUUUUCAUGUUUUAUUUUCGGAUUUUUUUUUCUAACAAUGAUAUUGAUUUUCAACGAAAGCUCAAUCAUGUGUCUGAUUGGCCACGUAUAUAUGUCUGGUCAACUGCUAAUAAUUAGGUAUAAUUAAUGUAGGAAUGAUAUUAAACUCCGAUAUGAUAGUUAAGAGUCACACUAGUCGUAUUUGUUAUUCGGGCUUUGUCCUGUUAUUGUAAUUCACCAAAAAAAAUGAUACGUCUUAACUCAAUUAGCAUGGGCAUUGGGCAUUGUCUUACUCCAAAAAAUUACCAAAAUACCUUUUAUAACUAUUUUUAUGUAUUUUAUAUUUUAAAAAUCACAAAUUUUUUUUAAAAAAAUUAUAAUAUAAAAAAUAUAUAUAAUACUUCAAGAUAGAUAAAAUUGAAGUUUGAGAAUUUUGUUUUCGAGAUUGAAUUCAAAUAUUAAAAUUUUAAAUAAAAUCGAAUUAAAAGAAUUAUAAAAAUCUAAUCACAUCAAGAUGAGUAAAAAAUUGUCCCGUUCUGUCCGAGUGCCAUCCAUAUUCAUAUUUUUUUCGGGAUAAAUCUCAAAACUACAUAUAGAUUUAGGUUUAAUGCGAAAUUGUAUACAUAAACUUUGAUUUUGUGCAAUUUUAUAUAUUAAAUUUUGAUUUGAUCUAAUUCUCACAAAUUAUUAACAGAACUAUUGACGUAACAUCAUUUUUUGUUUAUAUAUUGCAUACAUAAAUAAUUAUAUUUAUCCCAUAUAAAAAUAAAUUGAUGUAUUUAUUUCUUUAAAUGUGUAUGAUUGAAUCAAAAUUGAAGUAUCAUGUAUAUAUUUGAACCAUAAUCAAAGUUUCAUAUGUACAAUUGCUUCAAAUUAAAGUUUAUGUACCAAAUUACAAAUUGAAUCAAAGUUAAUGUAUAAUCUUGAGAUUUAUCCCUAAUUUAUUUGCCUUUUUAACUUUAAUUUGGAAAAUGGUUGGGCUUUGGGGCUUUUCACACGGGGCCAGCACUUGUAACUAUUGUACAUAAUUAUUGUUAAAAAAAAUGGACUUUGAAAACAAAAAUUGGAAAAAGAGAAGAGAAAAGGGGUAAUUACUUUUAUUUAAUAGAUUUUGGUUCGAAUUUAGUAAAAUGUAUUGGAUAAAUUUAGCUCCUAAUAUUUUCUUAUUUUAUUAUUUUAGUCUUUUUUUUUGUCAUUUUAGCCUUAAACUUUUAAAAAUUAGUCAAAUUGCUUGCUUUUAAACGGAAAAUUGAUUGAAUUGUUAAAAUUUUAACGGCAUUAAUGUGACUACUUGUAUGGCAGUCCACGUAUAAUUCAUAAAAAUUUAAAAAAAUAUUUUUUAAAAAUCAUCAAAUUUCAAAAAACUUCAUAAAAACUUUUUAAAAAUUUAUCCAUAUUAGCAAUGAAAUAUGCGUAAAAUGCCACAUGAGUUGUUACGUUAAUACCAUUAAAAUUUUAAUAGUUCAAUAAGUUUUUUUUGUCCAAAAGCAAGUAAUUUGACUAAAUUUUAAAGGUUGAGGGCCAAACUGACCCCUAAAAACCAAAAUGACGAAAUGAAUAAACGUUAGGGGCUAAAUUUAUUUUUAUUUCUAUAUUUGGGAGCCUUCCUUUCAUCUUAAAUUUUGAUGUUGCUAAAUAGGUAAGUUUGGUUCGAUCGGAUUUUUUAGAUUUUUCAAACUAUCCAUGAUAAAUUAGUUUGGUUUGAUUCUUGAUUUUUUUUCAUUACUAUUUUUUGCUUUUCGUAUUUUGAAAUUAAUUUUACAGCAAGAGAUUUUAUUUUAUGGCUUUUUAAACAUUAUUUUAUAAAGUUUGAAGUUUUUCCGUAAAUAUUUUGUUAAAUUUUUUAAGUAAAUAAAAAUAAUUAAUAACUCUCGCAUAGUAUUUUUUGAAAAAUAAUUUUUAUACAAAGUUUUAAAGUGUUUUUUCACUAUUUUAAAACUAAAUUAUAUAUUUUUAAUCAUAAAAAUUGUAAUUAAUUACAAAAAAAAAAAAAAGAAUUUUGUUCAAUUUAAAGUGACCACAACUUUUUAACUUGUAAUUUAUAAAUCGUCCAAAUACCUCAAUUUGGAUCAGUUGUCUGUUUUAUUAAUUUUUCUUGCUCAGUCUUAUUUCUAAAGAGUGGUGAUAUUUUUAUUUUUACUAUUAUUAUCAUUCUUUAAGUUUUUCUUUUAUUUAACUGGAUGGUUCAACCAAAUAAAAUAUUAAAAAUUGUAAUAAUAACUAAUAAAAUGAAUAAAAAAUAAAAAUUUGAAUUUUUAUUACUGAUUUUUAAUUGAUUUUUCAUUUUUAUUAUUCAAUUCAUUUGAUUAAAUCCCGAAUCAAUCAGUUCUUGAUUCAAUUCAAUUUUUACUAUCAUUGCACAAAAAAAGGGGCUUUAAUCAAAAUGAUAAAUAUAAACUUCUAAUUUGGAUGUUGAAAGGCAUACCAAAAGAGUGAGUUUUAGGUUAUCAUUUUGGUUGGGAGUGUCUUAUAAAGUUAGAUAACCAUUGAUAUUUCUUAAUUUCUUAAAGCUUUAUCAAAUGCUAUGUUAGGUAAUGAUUGCAAUCAAAAUAUCCAAUGCAAUGGAAUCUUGAUAAAGACAUCAUUUUUCCUUGUAACUUGCAAAAUAUGCAAAUGUUUAGUCUUCUGUGAUUAGUACUAGGGUAUAAAUAGGAUGUUAGUGUACAUAAAUUAUUUGAGUUUGAUUUUAAAAAAGUUCGAAUUUAAUUCGGUAAUUAUCGAAUUAAGUUUGAGUAACUUGAGUUUUCGGUUAAAACAACUUGAUUUGGUUAAACGUAAUGCGAGCCUUAUCAAUUUUUUUAUAUUUUUAUAUUAUUAAAUUAUAUGUUAUUAUUUUUAGUAUAUAUUUUUAACCCUAAGCUUAAUUAUGGAGUUGAGCCGAGUAUAAAAUAUGGUAACUGAGCUUAAUUGAGCUUAAGUAGUUCAAUUAUAUCUCGAGCUAAAAUCAAACUUAAAAAUAGAUGUUUGAUCGAGCUCAUGUCGAGUAUUGAGCUUCGAAUUUCAAGACAAGCUUGAUAGUAUUUAAUCUCGGCUUGGCUUAUUUACACCCCUAAUUGGACCUGCAAUUUUAUUUAGGAUUCAGAUAUCUCUUAAACAAUAUCUCGAGUUUGAGUUUUGUAGAUGAAGAAAAUAGCAUUAAAAGAGUUUUAUUAUUUAUUUAAAAAUUCAACUUAACUCGAUUUUAAAUUUAAUUGAUAUUGAAUAAUGAAAGUUCUCGAACAUAAAAUAUAUAUAAUAUAACAUUGGAUUCCAUGUUUCAAGUAAACAAGUCCUAUAGAACUACUAUUAUUGUUGUCUUUUAAGUUAUGUCAAACAAUAUGGUUGGGAAAGUAUAUAUUUAUAUAUUUAUUUAAUCCUCAAUAUCCUGCAAUAUAUUUCAUUUACCGUUAAUAGUAGGGAUUAAUCUUUUCAUUGUGAAUGCUUUUCAAAGAAGUAAAUGGCUGACCAUGAAAUAUGUUUUAUUCUCAUGAACGAGGAUCGAAUCCUUGACUAUAUGAUUAUAGGAUAAGGUGAAUAAUUAUCACACCACAUAUCGCAUUUUAUGGUCUACAUCUUAUCGUUUUUAAACUUGAAAGGCUUAAAAUGUGGUUUAUCUUUUGAAGUAUAUAACUUUUACUAUUUUUGUAUCAAAACUUUUUUUUUUGUCCAAAUUGAUACCUAAAGUGUAAUAUUUUUCUCACAUUGGUAUUAAUCCGAACAAAAAAAUUUGAUAUACUUUAUUAAAUAGUAUAUUGCUUGUGAAAUUAUUGAAAAUCCGUUCAUUUUUAUUAAAUAACAAGCAUUACCUUGAUGGUAUUUUUGUCAUUUUAUAUUAUACGUAAAGUUUUAAAAAAUACACAUAAUAAAAUUUGAACCUAAAAUACUGUAGUCUUCAACAUCUUAAGUUUAAUUUUUUUAAUAGAAUUCGAUUUAGUUCGUAUAAUUAUGUUUUUUUAACUUGCUGAUAAAAAAUCAAACCCAAUUAAAAUACAUUUAAAUAAUAACUGAAUCUAAACAAGAUUGAACUGAAAUUAAACACUACGAUUCAAAUCAAUUCUUCUUUUACAAUUUUUUUCUCAUCAUAAUAAUUUAUUGUCAUAGUAUACGUGGAUAAUGACAAUAAGAAAAAAAUAAGAACACACGGAUUUUACGUGAAAAACCCUUAUCGAAAAAAACCCAAGACAGAGGAGGAUAAAUUUACUAAUGUUAAAAAACAACAAUAUAAGAGAUUUUUAACUAUACGUUGUUUUAAGGUCAAACAACCCUUUUAUAAAUUAACAAGCAAGUUGUACCUCAAACUUUUCAGACCAGAUUAAACGAGAUUCGAGUGACAUAAUUCUAUCAUUUAUAAAUUUAAAAUAUGGAUAAACAUGACAUAAUUGUCAAAGUCUUAAACUACAAAGUCAAAAUCCCUUUUAAUUUUAUUGUGGGGUAGGGGGGGCAAUGGAAUAUGAUGUGGUGAGCUGUGUCGUUGAUUAGGCAAAAACAAUCAGAAAAGCUGGCCCUUCACUCAUUCACUUUUUCCAGCUUGCAAUAUAUAUAUAAUCCAUUAACAAUGCUAAAUAACAAGAAAACGGACUUUAUAAAUCACUUCCACGCGCCUGCUUCUUUUGCCAAUUUCGAUAUUUGAUUUAUUUUUUUCGGAUUUAGAUAAUUAUUAAAUAAAAUAUUUUAAAUACUUUAAUCCUUAUUAUAUUUAUUAUUCGAUUUCAUUUUACAUUUAAAGGUAACGGGUUUGAAUUUGGAUAAUGGAUAUCUAAAUUCAUUUUAUUUAUUUAAAUAAUGGGUUUGAAUUUUUCUUUAUUUUUUAAAUUUUAAUUUUUAUAUAAUGUCUACAUUUAUCUAUAACCCCUUGAUGGAAAAACAUGAUUACUGAUUACACGCAUUUGAUUCCAAGUUAUUUUUAUUGUUACAAUAACAACUAUAUCGAUUAGGUUAAGACUCUAUUGAUUUUUCUAAAAAAAAUUGUACUUACUAAAUAAGGAUAUUUAGUGGAGUCAAAAUAACUGAUGAUUAAUUUAAUUAAAUACGGAUAAUAAAUAUAUUCGAAUUUUAAACUGGAUAUAAAAUUAAAAACAUACUCAACCCGUGCCCCUCCCCAAUCUAUAAAUAGAAGGAUAAUGCAUUUCAACGCACUCGAAUCCACAUCCUCCUGUAUUGACAACAAUACCCAUACCAAUCGAACUAAGACUCAAUUAAUCUUAUUUUUUUUAUAUUUUAGUAUUCUUUUGAAAAAUAUAAAAGAAAAAUCAACGUAAAAUUUGAUAAAUAACAUGUAAGCCUAUCAAUUUUGGCUCAAAUUAAAAAAUUGAUUCACUUCAACUCGACAAAUUAACCUAAACCCAAAAUAAUUCCUAAUGAUUUAACUCGAAAAAUAAAAACUUUAGACCAGAACGAUCCGAAUCCAAUACAAUAUAAACUUGAAAUGAUGAAAUCUUAAUAUAUUUCAAGUGCUAAAUUGAUAUAUAAAUUUAUUAAAUUUAAAUUGACCCGAAUCAAAAUUAACUCAACGUAAAGGUUCAAAGUGCGACUGGGAUUGGUUAGGAUGAGGAGAUGGUUAAAUAGAGAGAGCAAUUGGCUCCGAGAAUUCCGCGGUCGACCGAGGGCUCCAGAGUCCAGAUGGAGGUCAAAGGGUUAGGUUGGCAAUCGGAGAAAUUUUGGUUGCUUAAAUUAAGUGGGCCCAUGGUCAAUGGGGCCCAUAUUAAUCUCACAGCUACGUGACAUUAACUGACGAAAAAAAAAUAUUUUUGACUAAAAUUUUUGGAUUAUAUAUAUAUUGGUACUUGAGUUUAGUUUUCAUGUUCAAUUUAGUACUUGAGUUUAGCUUUAAAAUUCACUUUGAUACCUGAGCUUUUUCAAUUUGAUACUUGAGUUUUUUUUCUCCUAUUUAAAUAUUUGAGUUUGAUUCCAAUGUUCAAUUUGAUACAUGAGGGGGUUUUUUAUUCUAACUCGGUAACUAAAUUUGGCUUUAAUAUUCACUUUGAUAUUUGAGUUUAAGCUCAAUUUGGUACCUAAGUGUUCUUUUUCCUAAUUAGGGGUGUAAACGAGGCAUUGGUGCUUACAAGCUACUUGAGUUCGACUAAAAAAAACUCAAUCUUGAUUAGGUAAUUAUUGAAUUAAGCUCAAACAUUUCGAGUUGUAGGUCGAGUUGAGUUUGAACGGCUGAUGAGCCUUAUCAAGUUUUUCAUUUUUCAUUUACAUUUUAAAUAUUUUUAUAUUAUUAAAUUAUGUUAUUACUUUUAAUAUAUUAUUAACCUUAAGGUUAAUUAUCAAGCUGAACUUGAGCUCGAGCUUCAGUAUGAAAUUUGACAAACGAGCUCAAUCAAGCUUGAGCUCGAGCCAAGUUGGAGUUUAAAAAACUAAUUUUUGAUUGAGCUCCAGCUCCAAAUCUAGAGUCAUUCAUGAGUUCGAACUUUCCAGUAUUCAAACUCGACUUAGCUUAAUUCCACCAUUAGUCCUAAUUAAAUAUUUAUCUUUUUUUUACUAGAGCACAUGUUAAACAAUCAUUAGGCCAAUGAUACUAUUAGGUCUGAGUACUAAAUUGAACAUUUAAACUAAACUAAUAUUUCAAGAUGGAAAUUUUAUGUACCAAAUUGAAUACUGAAUUCAAAAUUUAAGUAUCAAUUUGUAUAUUAACCCCUUUUUAAAAUAGUAAACAUUUAUUGAUUAUUGAUUGAUUUUGUUUUUCCUUUUUUGCAUGAUUUGCUUCGCUUUCCUCGUCUCGUAAGGGAGCUGGGUGGAAAUUGACAAUUUGACUUAGUCCUUUCUUAGUUUUCGCUAUCGUGCGCCUACAUGUCGUUUUGCUUAACCGGCGCCAACCAUGUCUUAAAUUAAUACUCAAAAUAUUUUUAAUAAAAACACACACAUCAAAAUCAAUUCGCUAGUGGUCGGCUUCGUUCUAUAAAGGGUUUAAAUUUUACUUUAAUCCUUAGCUUAUGUUAAAUUUUGAUAUUCAGUCUUCUACUCGAAUUUGAAGCAAUUUGAUCCUUGUUGAGACAUAAUCCUUCUUACACUAUGCUGUUAGGUACGAGGAUGCAUUUUUGGUCAAUGGGGGACGGUUCACACAUUUUUUUUAUAUUUUUCAUAUUCAUUUCACGUUUCAUGUUCAGGGUUUGUAACCGUCCCUAUCAACAAUAUUGUUUCCAAAGUUCAAACCUGCAUCUCCCGUUAAGAGUGCAUUGUGCCUUAUCACUAGAUCCAACCCUUGUUGGUGACUGUUCACACAAUUGAGAAGUAAUAUUGAGAUCCACAAGUGAUUCUGACUUUACUAUAAAAGAAAAUUAUGAAGUGUAGUAAAUGCUUGAACAAACCAUCAAGUACGAGCACCUCAUUGAACAGUUUAUGCAUGACGGGGGUUUGAACCCAUGACCUGUAUGGCACAUAGGCCAUUUAUGGGUAAGAUGUUUCCAUAGUAGGUGAGGCUCUCCCCCUCUGCAGUUUCUUCAAAUGCAUACAAAUUUCACAAACUUCUUUAUGAUAGAAUGAACAUCUCUUGUAGCUCAUUUGUACAUUGUUGUUAAUUUGUGUGAACCACUCUCUAUCGGCCAAAAGGACACUCUCAUGCCCUCUUCAAGGAUGAGGGAACAAAAGUUUGAUACAAAAAUUGAGCAUAGACACCCUAAGAACACAACACCGAGGAUGUUGUGAGUUUGACUCCUCAACAAUCUUUUAUUUUUACAAUGUUAUUAGUAGGUCCAAAUUGAUAACAUUGUUAAUUGAUUCCACUAAAUAAAAGUGACAUUAAACAUUUAAUUUGGCAUCUAAAAAGGACUGAUUGAAUUUUCACAUAACCAUAACUAUAUACAUGAAUAGUACAGGGAUUGCUUUAUAUUGACCAAAUUAUACAAAGUUAAAACCAGAGGGAUUAAAUCCUAAAUUUCUGCACAAUAGAGGACAUAAAACAAAAUUAGACCUUUAUGUAAAAAAGAGAGUAAAGGUGUGGCCCACGAAUAUUUCUCAUUGUGGGCCAUAGUACUGAAAAUACGUUUGAUUAUGAUCUUUAGAUUCUAAAUCAACCUUAAUCCAACGGUCAAUACACACCCAAUGGUGGGACCCAAAGGUCAAAUACAUACAUCGGCUUGAAAACGAACGGCUAUUUCUGGUUCGUGCAGCCGAGUCAAGCAAAAUCCCGCCGUUUUUGCCACGUCAGAUAUUAUAAAAAGGCAAAAAAAGGGCGUUGUAAAAAAAAGGGAAUUUGUUAUUUAUUUAUUUAAAAAUUUUCCCCUUUAUGUUUCUCAUUUAUCCUCUCUCUCACAGAAAGAGUUUUUUUUUUUUUUAUCGAUCAACAAAAUAAAAAUUGUUUAUUUGCAGGGCGCCACGAUCUGCAUUUCUCUCGAUCGUAGAGAUUAAUUCAAUUCCUCGGCGUCGUAAUCUCCUCCUCCAUUUGCAAAUCAAUCGAUUUCUUUGUAAUUUUCCGUUUCUCUUUUCGUUUGGAUUAUUCAAUUUUGUUUUGUUUUUCAUAUCCAUAUCUAAGAUUCGUUUUGUUUUUCUUUUCUAUUAUGGUUAACAGAUUCAGAGGAUUUUUUUUGUAAUUUUUUAAUGUCUACAUUGAUUCCGGUUUUCGAUCAAGAAUCUGAUCGACUCGUUCAGAUUUUUAUGUAAAUCGGAUUUUUUUGUGGAAGAUCUCGAUGUUUUUUGCCCUAGCCAUUGUUGUUUAAUUGUAAUUGUUUCAGAUUAUUGUUGAUGGAUUCAAAUCUUAAUUUCGGUUAUUUCGCGAUUUGAUUAUUGAAAAGCCUGCAUCGUGUGCAUCUUUUAGGAUCUUUGAGUGUAAUCCAUGGAGGGUUAAGAGGCAUUGUUUUUGAGGUGAAUUUUAGCCGUUGACGUGGUUUUUUUUGGAUUUGGAAAAUUAAGAAACAAUGUCUACGAGAGGUGAGCAUCAAACGGUACCGCUGUCGGUUUUAUUGAAACGUGAAUUAGCUAGCGAAAAGAUCGAAGACCCGGAGAUUGUACACGGGCUAGCAAGUCACAGCAAGAAAGGUGAAGAUUUUACGUUGCUUAAAACCGAAUGCCAAAGAGCGCUAGGAGAUGGUUUCACCACAUUCUCGGUUUUUGGGGUAUGAAUUUUGGGUCUCUCAUACUACCUAAAUCAACGCUAAUCUUAAAAGCAUGUAAUUUGCAGCACUGGAAUAUAAAGAUUUAUAAACUUUUAUAGGCUGGUAUUGCUAAACGUUAUUUAAAAAAAUAUAUAUUUUGGCAGCUCUUUGACGGACACAAUGGAUCUGCAGCUGCUAUUUACACGAAAGAGAAUCUUCUUAACAAUGUUCUAAGUGCCAUUCCGGCAGAUCUUAAUAGAGAUGAAUGGGUUGCUGCCCUUCCGAGAGCUUUGGUUGCAGGUUUUGUUAAAACAGAUAAAGAUUUUCAACAGAGAGGUAAGAAUUAUUUUAUUUUUAUGUCAAUACAUCUGUGUAUAGUAUAUGUUUUAUAGGAUAACCUUUGGAUAAAAAGGAAUAUUUGUCUAUACAGUUAUGCACUUUCUUUGGGAGUGGUUGCUACUGUUUAUGCAUGUUGUUCAUGCACUCCUCUAUUGUAGUACUUAUGCUCAUAUCAAUGUAGACUUAGGUAGUAUCCUUUCUUACUCAACUAACUGUUUUAUGUCCAUAUAGAUAUGGAAUUUUACUAAUUUAUCAUUGUGAAUAUCCAUGGAGAAAACGUUCUGAUAUGUAGGAAGAGUUGCUUUUCGGAAGUUGGUAGAUAUUGUUUUGUGAUAGUUGAUUUGUGCCACCUGUGGUUACUCAGGUGUUAGUGGGGUCACUGUUUGGUUGUGAUGCUAUCAUGGAGCUGUAGUGCUUUCCCUUAUACAACAAAAAGGGAUAGCAGAUUAGCAGAUAUUUAUCUAUAGAUCAGCUUGUCUAAUAUUCACAUGAUCUUAUUAUUCUGAUCUUUGGUUUUUGACUAUUUGGUCAAUAGUUAACUGAUAGUCUGGAUAUGUCAACAUGACAUUGGUCUACAUAUAGUUAAGUUGGCACCACCGAUCACUGUCCAGCUUGAUAAUUCACAAGCUCUACCAACAGUUACACCAGGCUGUUUCAUCAAUAAUUAUUAUACCAUACUUUUUAUGAUAAUUUUACUUGACCAUAAAAGUUCGUGUACAUAAGCACGGAGAUUCUUCCAUUCAUUGGACAGGGAUUGCAAUAAAGAGGAUUGGACAUAUUAUUAUUAGCUUUUUAUUUUGCUUUUAAUUUUUAAAGUUUUCGGUAAUAACUUCUUGAGUUCACUCUCUCAUGUUUAGUAUUUGAUAGACAUGCUAUGGUUUUCUUUCCAGCAAAAACGUCAGGAACUACUGUAACCUUUGUGAUAUUAGAAGGAUGGGUUGUAACAGUGGCAUCUGUUGGUGAUUCCUGCUGUAUAUUUGAAUCAGCUGAAGGUGGAAUAUAUCACUUGUCCGCUGAUCAUAGGCUUGAAUGCAAUGAAGAGGAGUAAGUCUUUGGCAUAGUCUUUGCUGUAUCUUAAAACUUUCCCCAAAAUAUUGAGGCCUUACUUUCUGUUUUCAUCUUCUUAGGAGGCAUCGAAUCACUGCAAGUGGGGGUGAGGUUGGUCGGUUAAAUGCUGGUGGUGGUGCAGAGGUAUUUCCACUUCCCCUACGGUUGUGCAUCUUAAUGCUUUUGUGUGCUUUAACAAAUUUUAUCUAGAAUGUUAGCCUUUUCUUUCCAUCAGCAAAACGCAAUGAUACAUUAAUGUGAAUGGAUGUGCAACCACAAUACUUAGAAAACACAAUCCAGAUGCUAGUUUCAGGCAUGUGUGACACUUUUGACAAAUGCACCAAAAAGACAUUAAACUUAUUUGAUAAUUUUGUGGAUUAGAGGACCCCUUUGUAGACCUUACUAAUUUUAGCUGUAACAAUUGUACUUAGAAACAACAUUUUUGUACCUAUCUUGUUUUGUUGCAGAAAUAUGAAAGAUGAUACUGAUAUGUUUGUAAACAAUGAUAAGUUGAUUCUUUGUCGAGAAUUUCAAUAUAUUCAGUAUGGGAGAAAACUCUAUUUGAUCAUUUGUGUGGAUUGAAGCUGGUGAUCUAAUGGUAAAGUUAUUUUACAGAUUGGUCCUUUGAGAUGUUGGCCUGGAGGCUUGUGUCUUUCACGAUCCAUUGGUGAUAUGGAUGUUGGGGAGUUCAUUGUUCCUGUUCCAUACGUAAAGCAAGUAAAGGUUUGUCGUACUCUUUCAUAAUCUACUUGCAUAAUGUAAUUUAUAUCUUUUAGUUUGCCUGUCCUGAUAUCUUGAUUUAACUUGUGCACUUAAUAGCAUUGGAUAUCAAUAUUUUAUUUGAAAGGACCAACUAAAAUUAUAUAUUUUUCUAUUUUUGUUUCAGUUAUUUCUUCAAAAUUGUAUAAUAUGAAAGAUAUAUGCAAACAAUAUACCAUUUAAAAAAAUAAAAAUCUCAUGAAAUGCAUUAGUUUUAGUGAUUCAUAAAUUUCAAAUCUGUUAUCAAUUUAGUCUUCAUUAUAAAAUCUCAAUAAGCAAAAGUAUCUAGUUUUAAGUUUUGUAAAAGAAAAGUUUUUCAUAAGCGGUUAAGAUAAGCUGAUUUAUCUUGCACUAAACAGAGACAUCAAAAAGAACACCUGAAUUUUGAGAAAAAAACAGAACUUUUAAGAUAUUCAUAUGAAGGCAAGAAUAUAUGUAUAUAUAUUUGAAAAAAAGCUUCUUAACAAAAAAUUGGCUUUGUAAAGGCUGUUGGUAAGUGGUAACUCAAAUGAUUAAGCUGGAACAUUGAAAACAAUCACAAAGAUAUUUAAAAGAUUGAAAUAUAUAAGAGGAUAAGUUAUUGUGAGAAACUAGGAAGUGAAAAUUUUUUUUCUUAUCGUUAAGAUAAAACUUAAAUAAUAAUGUUGGAGGGUCCAUUUAAGUGUAUUUAAUAUGAAAACAUAUCCAUGCUAGGGGAUUUAGAAAAUCUUUAUUUUUUGGGGGGGGUGGCAGCGGCAGCAGCUAGGCUCCCAUUAUUGUCUGCCAUUGGCGCCAAAUAUUGUGUUCUAUACAUCUUGCUUCACAACAUGUUAAUUUUUUCCCUUAUGCCACUGUUUUAAGAGAUUGGAUAUGUACUUGGUUGUAAUGGAGUUCCUUGAACUUCCAAACCAGUAACAUUUCUGAAUUUGUGAUCAUUAACUCCAUAGAAGAGCCAUUAAUUUCAUAUCCGUAUCCUCAUGUGUCCUAUACUUGCAGGUUGAAGUGCUUUUGCAUUUGGAAUUUUCUUUCUUAAUCAGUUUUCUUUAAAAGGGUCUGUUUGAACGAGUUAGUGUUUUAUCUAAAAUUAGAAGACAUUUUCUUGAUUGUUAUUAAUUGUUUUAUUUUACCAACUAGCCUAUUUUCUGCAGUUGUCUACGGCGGGUGGUAGGAUGAUUAUCUCUAGUGAUGGUGUUUGGGAUGCUUUAACAGCUGAAGAAGCUCUUGAUUGUUGUCGUGGAAUGCCUCCAGAUGCAGCGGCUGCCCAGAUUGUGAAAGUAUACUCCUGAUAUUCUCUCGUCUACAUUGUGCUCUUUAACUAUUGCUGCUGGGAGCAAUAUGUUGGUAUAAGUUUGCAUUUCUUCAUGUAUUCUGAUUCCUUGGUAUCUAAUGAACAGGAAGCUGUAAAGCCAAAGGGUCUUCGAGAUGAUACAACCUGCAUUGUUGUUGAUAUCUUACCACAAGAGAAGCCAGCUGCUCUGCCACCACCAAAGAAGCCAGUCAAAGGUAUGUUAAAAGCCAUGUUUCGCAAGAAGAAUUCUGGAUCAUCUUCUCAAGAUAAAGAUUACAUGGAACCGGAUGUGGUGGAGGAAUUAUUUGAGGAGGGAUCUGCUUGGCUUUCGGAAAGGUUAUUAUUAUUAUUAUUUUAAAUAUAGAUUUGAUCAUCGAUUGUCAGAUAAAGCAUCGAAUCCAUUUUUAACUUUCUUGUCCAUCGGUACCAUGGGGCAUGGCAUGCUAUGAAUGACGAGAGGAUGAGGUAGUUUAUCUCAUGAGGACCCUUCUAUUGUAUGCAGGUUGGACACUAAAUAUCCACUAUGCAACAUGUUUAAGCUGUUCAUGUGUGCAGUCUGUCAAUUGGAGAUGAAGCCCGGAGAGGGCAUUUCUAUUCAUGUUGGCACAUCUAAUCCAGUAAAGUUACGUCCAUGGGACGGUCCAUUCCUUUGCUCUAGUUGCAAUGAGAAGAAAGAAGCCAUGGAAGGAAAAAGACCAUCAGGAAGUAAUGACAGACCUCUCUCCCUUCCUAUCUGUUCUUCAUUUCUAAUUUAUGUUGCUAAAGUAAAGAUCCUUGAUCCUUUUUUUCCCCUUUUUUCAGAUAGACAUGGUAGUGAUAGUGACUAGCUAGAUCUUUCCAAAUACUGUUGGGUUUUGUGGGCACUAUCAAUUGUUCCAGCGGUGGUCAUAAACGGGGAAAUAGUGCAUUCUCAAAAUAGUAACUUCCUUCAAUUUCUUAUCAGUGGGCAUCGAGCAUCCAUUUGAAUCUAUACUCUCAAGUUCCGGCUUUGGGAGUAAGAAGACAAAAAUGAUUUAAAAAAUAGCUAGAAGGUUUUCAUAGACUCGGCAGUGGAUACAAGCAUGCCUUGAAGGUAAUUCUUUUCUCCAUCUCUAUUCAUCCCAUCGUAUACCAGUCGCUCCAAAUUCAUAGAUCUAACACUAAAUGACAGUGGACUUCAAUGUAAUGUUAUAAUAUAGGGAAUUUGAUAAGUACUCAAUACUCAUUUGUGAAAAAGUUAGGGGGGCAUGCUGAAUGAAAUUUAUUCAUGUAUCAUUGGUUAUUCAUUCCUUCGUAAAAAUCUUUGGUAUAGAAAAUUCUGCAAAAUUCCAUUAUUAUUAUUUCUUUUAAGCAAUGCCAUUCCAUUAUUAAUUUUUAAUCGUUUAGCCAUAAAUAUACAUAUAUACUUGGUUGAUGUAAAUAUGUAUCCCUGUACUGUCUUGAUGCAUUUAUGAUAUAACCUAGUAGCUGGAUCUUGCCCCUUGUGUGUGAGAAUAUAGAUAUGUAUUACAUUUGGGACCAGCUUUGCUGUGGGGACGAGUAGACACGGCUUGACUGGAGGAUGUGGACUCUAGUCGACAUACAUGUGAACUCGCUUUCCACACCCUCUUCCUUGUACCAUUGAAGUUCUUUUUGAAAGGCAAGUUGCCUUACUUUUAUGAACAUUAGGUAGAGUUUGGUUUUAGAAAAUAAAAUUACUAAUCAAUUGAUUAUAAUCUAUUUAAAUCGAAUAAACUAACUGAUUAAGAGUAAGAUUUUGAUUAAACAACGUCGUUAAUUGCAUUAGAAACAAAAAAAAGGGGUCAAAUUCUUGUUUUGGUUCUUUUACUAUGCUGAAAAAUAAGAAUUAAUCCCUCUAAUUAAGAAUAUUUUGGCCUUUUACUUUUUAUAAUGUUAUUAGUAGGUCGUAAUCAAUAAUACUUUUAGUUCUCGAUAAAAUAAUGAUGUAAAAUUUUUUAAUUGUUAUAAUCUUGGUCAUGGAACUAACCAUUGUUAGGUGUUGUGGUAAGAUACACUGCACAAUCUCAAAGAGAAAAUGUAGGUUCAAAUCGUGAAGAUAACAUUAUUGGGAGUAGUCACAAAUUCUGAACAUGGAUCAUGUUUAACAUGGUUUACAUAGUUUGUCAAAUACUUAAUUUUGUUUUACAGGAUACUAAUGGUGUUAUUGAGUCGGGGACCUACUAAUAACACUUUAGAAGUAGAUGGAUUGUCAAAUUAAAGGGAUUAAAUUUUAUUUUAUUUUACAUAAUAAAGAGAUUAAAACUAUAAUUAGAUUAAUAAAAAAAAAGUCCAAACAAAAUACUUAGCAUAUAAAAAACAUUUAUAAGUUGUCGAAUUGAGUGAUAAAAAGAUCAACAUAGUUUUCGACCAUGGAAGGAAAAAUGGAACACUAGGAAAGUUUUACUCAUUUUAUCAUUUAAUUUUGUUGAAGUUGAAUGUUUUGUAAUAUUUCCAUCUCUCCUAGACCUAGUUGACUGUUUGUCUAUAAGAUAUUGAGUGGCCAACGACAAAAGAAGAAAAAGGGGAAAGCAGAAAAAGCUUCCCUACCAAAAAGGAUCUUAAAAUGGGUUCUGAACGUGAAAUCUUUGUUUUAUAUCCUGUUUGUUUCUUCAUCUUCAUCACCUUAUCUUUUUACAUAGAAAUAAAAUAAUAGAAUUAUUAGAUUUUUGAGUGGAGAAGAUGAGUCAGUCCACCAAAAAAAUAAUGCCUCCAUGAUUGAGAUGUUGACCUCUACUAAAAUGAACAAAAUUCCCCCCAUGGUGCAAAAACCCAGAACCCUAAAUGCUAUAAUGUAAACCCUAAUAGGACCACUUUGUUAUAUACACGUGUGUGUGGGUCUACCAUCUCUCACCAAACUGUCAAAUGCCUCUUUUCUUUUGCUUCCAUCUUUUUCUUAUCAACCCCACCUUUUUUAUUUUAAUCAGACGGUUUAAACUUAUUGUCACAAGAUCAUGUGUAGACUGUAUACCUAUCUUCACAUGUUUUUUCUUCUCCUAUUUAGUAUGGGUUUGGAUGAGUGAGGUAAUGCGGUGCGUUUAGUUUAUUUUUUGUCUCAUGCUACAGUAUUUAAUUUCAUCGUUACGGCUGUUUUUACACUAACCACAGAUAAAUGCACCGUUCAUCCAAACCCAUCUUUAGUUUAUAUAUUCUUUGUUAAUUAGGGUUGAUAUUUAUAAUUUCAGUCUUUGAAUUUGCAUUAUAUUAUUUGAGUCCAAAUUAUUUAUUGGAUAAUAAAUUUGAAUAUUUAAUUUCGUUAUUUAUAAAAAUUAAGCAAAUACGAAUAAUUUAUAUAGAAAUCCAUAUUCAUAAAAGUAAAAGCUGAUUUGUGUGAUGGGUAUCGGAAGGUAAAUAUUCACGUGUGCUUCAAAUUUAUUGUGAAUAGUAAUUUGAAUAUUUGAACCUCAUAUUAUCUAAAUCCUUGAAAAACAAUAUUGUUUGAACUAGAUUGGAUAGGUUGGGGUAUUGGUCUAGUGAGAGGUAUAAAAUCGGUUGAUUCGUGGAUCAGUACAGGUUGGUUGAAUAGGUUUUAUUUGUAUUUUUUAAAUUUUUAAUAAUUUAUUUAUUUUAAAUUACCUUAGAUCGAAAAUCGAUGGUUUAACCGGUUCAAUCACCAAUCAGUUUCCCAAAGCAUUAUCAAAAACCAAAUAAAAUAGGGAUAAAUCUCAAUUAUGCAUGAACUUUGAUUUAAUGUGCAAUUUGAUACAUGAACUUUGAUUUGGUGUAAUUAUAUAAGUUUUAAAAGAUAAAUACAUAAAUUUAUUUAUUUUUGUUUAUAAUAUAUGCAUAUAAAAUUAUACUAUAUAAAUAAUUGUGUUAAUAAUUUAAGAAAAUUGGAUCAAAAUCAAAGUUCAUGUAUAAAAUUACACAUUAAACUAAAAUUCAUAAAUAAUUUUAAGGUUUUUCCUAAUAAAAUACCUACAAAUAUUUCAAAUCUACAGAGUGUAUUACAAUCCCUACUUCAAAAAUGGACUAAUGAAUGAAAACCAACCUAUGCACCAAUGCUUGAUUUUGCAACUUCCUUACCACACGCUCAUAGCUCUAAACUAGCCUUAAUAGCUCAUUCGUUGCAAGUAAUGGUAACGCCUUUUUAGAUGGUUGAUUAUUUUCAGUGUGAUGCGUUUAUAUAUAUUUUUUAAUUUCACAUUACAGUAUCGUUAUGGUAUCUAAUUUCAUUGUCAUUGUUAUUUUUACACUAACUGUAAAUAAAUGCACCGCUCAUCAAAAGAAGCACUUAAUUAAUAAUAAAACACUAGGUCUUAUGACCCAAAGAAAUAAGAAAAAAAAAUCGUUGAUUUUCCACAUGGUAGGGAGGUUGGUCCAUCUCCAUCCUAACCAUGAAUAUCAUUUGCAUUUAAACCUAUAACCAAGUCAUAGAUUAAACUACACCUAAGGUUAUUAAACUAGUAAUAAAUUUACAUUUUAAUCAUCUAACUUCAAAAAAUUACAAUAAGAGUGACGGGAGGGGAAUAGUAGGAAAUUGACUCCCUCUGCAACGAAAAAUUGUUGCUUUAUUCCUCUCCCCCAAAUUGUAAAAUCUUAAAUUAAUGUGGUAAAAUUAUUGUUUGGCCCUCCUAAAUGCUGGAAUUUUAAUUUAGUUUUUUUGAAAACCAUAAAGAUAUAAGCCAAUACAAUGAUGAAAUUCCAUUUUAUCUCUCACAAAAAUAUAUAACUUAAUCUUGACCCUUUUAGAAAAAAUUCUAGCUUUGCCUCUGAGUUACAAAAUUGUCAUUGGACUGUUAAAAUCACUGAUGUAUGGCCUCUCUGGUCGCACCGCUUGCAUCAGUCGGAAGCUCUCAUCCCCAUUCUUUUCUACAGUUAAGUCUUUUUUCGUGAAACAACUUUAACAUCACGAAUCUGCAAACCAAAAUAAAUAAAUAAAAUUAUUCUUUGAUCUUCGGCACUAGCCGUUAGAUCAACUUGGAUCUAAAAUAUGUUUUUUUACUCACCGAUGGAUACUGACACAUCAUACUAUUGUCGAAUCAUCACUUGAAACUCGUUAAAAAAAUUAACAAUCCAAUAACUUAAAUAAAAACUUUCGAAUAAUUAAUUAAUCAAAAACAUAAACUUUUAGUCAAAUUUUACUUAAAUUAUUUUCUUAAAAUAAAAUAUUAUCCAUUUCUGUCACGAAAAUUCAAACCAUUAAUUGAUAAUCAUAAAAAAAAAUCCAACCAACUUAAAAUAUUGAAAGUGGUGGUGUGUCAAAUCGGGUCCAUUUCAAAGAGAAAAUUAUGAUUGAGAAAAUGCAAAAAAAAUAAAGAAAAGAAAAAAGGUUGUAUAUAUUUCAAAUUGGUUGAACCAUGGAAGUAGACUAGGGACUUUUAAGCCAUUAAAAAAGAAAAGUGCCUUUAACACUAUGGGUCGUUGCAACUUCGGACCUUUUCCUUCAAUCACAUUGUUUCCUUGUCAAGAUGGAACAUGUUGAAAAACAACCUCUUUGUGUGUAUGUUAAACAAAAACUCCAAUAGAUUGGUAAAAGAGUUUCGGGUUUAAGAGAUUUGAUUCAAUUUGAUUUUAAAUUUAAUUAAAGUUUAAUGUAAUUACUGACCACUAAAAGAUUUUUUUUUUUUAAGAAAAAAACCCAACUUCUUCCGAUGAAAAAAGAAAAAGAUUAGGGACAUUUUCUUUCAAUGACGUUGUUUUCCUGUCAAGAUUGAACACAUUGAAAAAUAACUCUUUUUUUUUUAUCGUAGAAAGCAGUUGAGUAGUAAAAAUUUUGAUUCCUUUUAAGUAAAGUUUCAAGUUUAGAGUUUGGAAGAAUUUUGUCUUUUGUUUAAAAAUCUAAUUUGAUUUGACUUUUAACUUUAAUCAGAAUUUAAUAUAGGGUAAACUAUCAAAAUAGUCACUUUUGUUUGGCUCAGGUUACAUUUUAGUCACUUACGUUUGAAAUGUUACGUUUUAGUCACUUAUGUUAUCACGUUGUAACAUUUUAGUCACUGAGCCGUUAGUUUCUGUUAACGGUGUAACAGUAAACUGAUGUGGCAUGUUAAAUCAUCAUUUCAAAUAAAAAUUUUAGGUUAAUUUAUACAAUCAGUCCCCAUAUUUUUUCGUUUGGAGCAAUUUAAUUUUUUUCUUUUAUGUUUUUAUAACUUUCUUUCUUUUCCAUUCUCUUAUGCUUCUCCCUUUGUUUUCCUCCCUUCUCCAUUUCUUUCAACGUAGUUUUUCUAUGUUUUAUUUUUUUGAACAAUUUAAUUUUUUCGAGUGAGGCGAGCUUGUGGACUAGUUACAAAUGGAAAACAUAGAAAAACUAUGUUAAAAGAAAUGAAGAAUGGAGGAAAAUAGAGGGAGAAGCAUAAGAGAAUGGAAAAAAAAAGUUAGAAGAACAUAAAAGAAAAUUUAUAAAUUGUUGAAAUUGAAAAAAUAUAGGGACCAAUUGUAGAAUUUAACCUAAAAUUUUCGUUUGAAAUGAUGAGUUAACGUGCCACAUCAACUUACCAUUACACCAUUGUCGACAAUUAACGACUCAGUGACUAAAACGUAACAUUUCAAACAUAAGUGACUAAAAUAUAACAUAAGGCAAACAAAAGUGACUAUUUUAGUAGUUUACCCUUUAAUAUAACUACCGAAUACGUCAAAUGAAAAAAAGAGAGCAGAUUAGGUUAUUCCUUGUAAGAGUGAAAAGAUAAAAAGUGUUUAGUUUGGUAACUCAUAGUUUUAAUUUCUCUGUUGAAAAUAAAUAUUUAAUUUUAUAAUGUUAUUAAAAAAUUUAGAUUAUUUUUUUGAACAAUUUCAUUAUAAAUUUUGAUUAUAUACGAUCUUUUUGAUAUAAUAUCAACUUAUAAAUAGGAAAAUGAUGUGCUUGAAUACACUCGAACUCACAUCCUCCUACAUAAAUUUAAACUAUUAACAUUAUUAAUUGUUACUAUUAAAGUGAUGAUGAUGUAUAUUUACUCGUAUAUAUUGCUAUUAAAGUGAUAAUGUUGUAUAAAUCCUUUUAAAAUAAGCUUUAAGCAUUUUAUUUGUAUAUAUUAAUCACAAUUAACUGGAUUUCCGUAUCACAUUAAUCACAGGGGGCAGAGCUAAGGGAUGGAAAUUUUCACUUUUAGUUUUUUUAUAAUUUAAAAAAAUUUAAAUUAGUAAAUGAUAAAAUUACACUUUGAGCUCAAAAAUGAGAAAAAAAAGUUAUCUAAUCUUUUAAAAAUUAUAAAGAUAUAGACUAUUAAAAUGAUGAAAUUUCACUUUACUAUCAUAAAAAUAUACGACUUCAUUCUGCCCCAAAACAUUUUCUGACUUCGCCGUUGAUUAAUUAUGUAAUUAAUAAAAAUAAUAAUAUUAAUUUGAAUCUAUCAAAUUAAAAUAAAAAAGACUAAAGUCAUAAUGAAAUCAGCAAGUCACAUUUGAGGGAAUAAAGUAACCAUUCCAUCAUCUGCAUGUUUGUGGGCAAAUUUGGAUGUAUGUGAUCUAAAAAAAAGAAAAAAAAUAUUUUCAUCAACAAUUUAAAAAUAAAAAAUAAAAUAAAAGCUAUUGGAUUUAACAAUGGACCUACCAACCUUUUUUGAUCCAUAUACUGCUAAAUGUAUCAUCUCAUCUCAAUCUCUUUAGUGAGCCAUUAGCCACCACACCCUUUCCCUCCCUUGAAGCUUAAUGCAAUCAAUCUAAAUAAAAUAAAAUAUAUCAAUUCCUAUUCCAACUAAUCUCGAAAACAAUUUGAAUCUAAAAUUAUACGUAUUUAAAAAAAAUUGUGAUUCAUUGAUUGGGUGUCCAUCUUCCUUAAAAAUUGUUUGGGUUCAAAUUGUAAGAGCGUAUGUAUUGACAAUGAUUUGUUCUUACCAAUAACAUGUGAAUUAUAUCGAUAAAUUCAAAUGACCAAAAAAUUAUCUAAACCUAAAACUUGUUUCACAUGAUAUUUUGCACUAAAGACACAUUAAAUACAAUUAAAGACGAAAGUUAGUUAUUAUACGUCGUGCUAUAUAAAAAAUACUUAAAUUUUAAAUGUCAAAAUCAAAUGAAAAAGCUCGAAAUAACUCAAUCCGAAAAUUUUGACUAAUUCAACUGAUAAACCCAAAUCGAUUCAAAAUCAAAACUAGUUUCACAUGUACAAACCAAAUAUAUGUGGUAUUUUGUAUUAAAGAAGCAUUAAACACGACUAAAGACAUGAUUUGCUUCUACAAGUAGUGCAUGAAUUGUAUAAAUAAAUCAAAUAAAAAGUUGGAAUAACCCAAUCCGAAAAUUUUAACUAAUUUAACUGAUAAAUCUAUAUCAACCAAAAAUGAUUUAAACCCAAAAAUUGUACACAUAUAUAAGAUGAAUACUUAAAUUUUAAAUGUCAAAAUUAAAUAAAAAAUUAAAAAUCCAAAAAAUUUAAAUAAAUUAAUCAAAAUAGUCCAAACCCAAAACUCCUUUCACAUGUAUAAACCAAAACAUAUGUUGUAUUUUUAUACCAAGGACACAGUAAACCCAACUCCAUUUUAACAAUCUGUCUCUCCCACUAGCUCCUAAUAUCCUCAUCCCCUCCAUAAACUAAAGCUGAGAAAAUAGAAUAAAAAAUUUUCAUUUCAGAUUCAGAUACAGAAUCUGAUAUCUUUGUUUUAAUCUUUUUGUGAGCUUUCUUAGUUUAAAAAUUUUGCAACAAUGGAUACUUCCCACCACCAACAGCACCAGCAAAACACCAAAGAAAGCUCAUCAUCAACAACAGAUAACCAGCAACAACAACCAUCAACGGCAGCGGCGGCGGCGGCGGUAUCAUCAUCAUCGUCUUCGUCUCCAUCACAUGAAUUCUCUUUCGCUAUAUCUUUGAACAACAACACGAAUGUUAAUACAGAUAAAGCCAAAACCCCACCAUCUUCUUCAUCAUCAUCAUCAAUCGCCAUUGAUUUAACACCAGCUGAUGAUAUAUUCUUCCAUGGACAUUUACUCCCUCUUCAUCUCCUUUCUCACCUUUCUACAAUCUCUCCACGCUCAUCCACAGACAGCUUCACCACCACCCUUCCUGUGCCUACCAGCAAAAGUGACAGCAAUAACAAGAGUACCAACCAUGGUGGCAAUAACAAUACUGAAUCAACAAGGUCAAAAAAAUCCAAGUCUUUCUCUUUGUUCAGUUUCAACAAACGGCAGCAGAAAAGGGUUGUUGAAGAUGAUCACGAAGAGAAAAACAAUAAGAGAAAGAUUAGAUUUGAUGUAAGUGAUGUGUUGAAAAGGUAUUUAAAGAUGGUUAAGCCAUUGUUGUUCUUUAAAGGUAAGAAAAGAGAUAAUGAGCUUUAUCAUGUCCAUAGGCAAGCUUAUUCAUUUUCUGGGAAUUUAAGUACUUUGAGGAAUAGAAAAAGUGGGGAUCAUCAAUGUUCAUCAGCUCCUGUUUCAAUGAGGACAUCACCUACAAAUAGUGGUCUUCUUGUUUCAACAAGUGAUAGUACUAUGGAAGAGUUGCAGGCUGCAAUUCAAGCUGCUAUUGCUCAUUGUAAGAAUUCAAUUAGGGGGGAAGAUAGACUUCAAUGCUAGGUUAUAGCUAAAUUUGGGGUUUUUGCAUUUUGUAUCACUUGUUCAAAAAAUGGUUAAAUUAGUUUCUAUACAUUAUAUUAAAGAGUAAAUUGAUCUUUUUAUUAAAAAAGUUUAUCCAUUUCUACCGUUAAAAGCUGGUCCCUAUAUGUCAGCAUGAGGUACACUAUUCGCACGUAAGUUUUUAACGGUAAAAAUGGAUGAAAUUUUUAACAAAAAUGAUUAAUUUAAUUUUUAAUCUAAUCUAUAGAGACUAAUUUAUCAAUUUUUUAAAUAAAAAAGGUGAAAUACAACUGAUACCUACUACAUAAGUCUUUAUAGUACUUAUAUCGUUAUAUUUUUGUAUAUAAGAAAGAAGUAUAAAGAAAAUUAAGAAUUAUGAAAUUAGUUUUAGAAUAAAAUUAAACUUUUUUUUUUGUUUUUACUGUGUCCUGGUGACAAUAAUGUUAAGGGCAUUAACUUAAUAAUGGAAGUGAAAAUUGCUCUAAGUUGAUUGCAUUUCAUAUAAUAUAGUGGGUAUAUUUAAUAUUUUAAUAUUUGCACAAACUACAAUGCAAUUAUGUUUCAUAAUCUUAAAGAUUGAGGGUGGGUUUGGAUGGGCGAUUGGGUGCGGUGCGUUUAGUUUACUUUUUGUCUUACGCUACAGUAUCGCUACAGUGCCUAAUCUCACUGCCACCGCUGUUUUUACACUAACCGCAGGUAAACACACCGCCCAUUCAAACUCACCUUGAAUUUUAUUUCUUAAAAUUGUGUAUUAGAAUUGGUCAAGUAUUUGGAUUACCUCUAAAAUUGUAAGGUCAAAUAGGUUAAACGGGUAAUAUUUUGUGUGAAUCAUGAUAUUUAGUAUGAGAGUCAGCUUUAGUGUGCUAAUAAUGUGUUGUAUGGAACAAUGGGCCUGAUAUUGGAGUUAUGAAUCCCGCAUCAAUUUUGUACUAAAGUUGAUCUUAAGAUACACAAGUGUUUAUGUCUUAUAAAAUAUUUUUUAUGAAUAAAAUCGUGAGCGUUAAUUAAUUGUAACAAAAAAAGAUGCACACACUUUUAAGCUAAAACCCCAUAAUGAUUCAUUUUAGUAUCAAGUCAAGGAUCGAUUUUUUUUUUCAAUAAAAGGAUGAACACUAGGGCGGAGGGAGAGGGGCAAACAGUGCCAAAUGCGAGUUUAAGGGGUUGGCAGGGGUUUUGGCCCCCUAAAAAUGAAAAUUAUGCAAUUCAAUUCCUUUAUGAAUAAUGAAAGUUUAGGUUAAUAUAUGGUAAAAUUACACUUAGACACUUUUAAAAUAAAUAAAAAUUUGCAUUUAGCCCCUUCAAAAAUGAUGAAAUUAUAAAUUAAUAAAUGAUAAAAUUAUAUUUUGACCUCUAAAACUUUUAUAAUUCAAUUCUGUUUCUUACUAAAAAAAUUUCUUGAUUCACCACCUGAAAGUUGCCUUGGUCCCUAAAAUGAAAAAUAAUCUAUUAAUCUCUUUAAUUUUAAGAAAAUACAAAUUAAUAUAAUAAUAAAAUGACUCUUUAACCCCAAAAUUUUAAUCAUUUCUGACCCCUAAAACAGAUUUCUAGCUUUAGCCCUAAUCUAACUCCUCACCACCAAGCUACCAUUUUCUCCUUUUUCCUUAAAAACUGUCAUUCUUUACCAUUUCCCAUGAAUCAAACAGUGUUUAGUUGUGAAACCAAUAGUAAAAAGGCCAUGUUAGUAUCUGCAGCUAAAGCGAGAACAGUGUGGCUUUAUAAUCAAUAAAGCCAAUGAAAAGGGAACAAAAGCCAUUGCUGGUCUUAGGUGCCAUAAAAAGAAGUGGUAGUAUCUAUGAGAAGAGAUGUGGGACAUACAUUUAUUGACUUGAUAGUAUCAAGUACAACAACAACAAUGUGCAAUAUAUGCUUUUUAUCAACCAAUGUUAGGAAGCUUAAAUAUUAUAUCAAAUGUGGAUUGAGUCUUAACUCGAUUGAUAUGGGUAUUGUUGUCAAUACAGGAGGACGUGGAUCCGAGUAUGCUGAAAUACAUUUUUCUCUUAUUUAUAGGUUGAGGAGGAGUUAUAGAUAAUUUUAAAUAUUACGUUAAAAAAGAACAUAUAUGAUCAAAACUUAUAAUAUAUCAAAUAAUUUCAUUUCAGUGCCAUUAACAAAGCAUUGAUAUUAAUAAUGUAUGUUGGAUGGUUGAUUGUAAUGAUGGUAACCAUUGAUUGAGUUCUCUCCUUUUGUAUGGUCAUAUAAUAUUUUGUAUCUGCCUGGUGAUACAGCCACACACUCAAAUAUAUGAGUUAUGGAUGUGCUUUUUCUUUGUUGUUUUAAGGGUAAAUUAAGGUCGAGAUAAUUAAAGUAUUAGUAAAUUUAUGUUUUGGUCACUAAAUUUUAAAAAGGUUAUAAAAUGAUCAUUAAAAUAUUUGAUAGUUUUCAUUUAAGUAAUUGAACUAUUCGAAAAUUUUUAUUCAAGUCGAUGGGUUGUUUGAGUUUUUUUUUUUUAAAGUCUAGUUAAUGAGCUCCAAGUGAUAAUUGGACAAUUGGUACGGUAGAUCCAAGGGCGAACUGUUACAAGGGCCCAAAAUUUUGGGAAAUUUUGAUUUUUCCCUUAAUUUUUUUAAAUUUUAAUUAAUCCCCCCUCAAAAAUUUAAAAAUUUUCAUUAAUUUCACAAAAAAUAUUAAAAUUUUAAUUAGCCCAUUUUUUUUAAAAAAUCAUUAAACUCCUAAUUUUUGGAAAUUUUAUUAGCCCCCAAAACUUAGUCUUAGGAUCCGCCAUUGGGUGGAUCACUACCUAUUGACAAGUAGAAGAACAUACUUUAGAUCUAAGUUGUUCUGACAGCCAACGUUGGAGAUCGAAGAAGAAAGUUGUUUAGAUUUUGCUUUGUAGAUUUUUGACGUUUAAAAUAUUUUAUAAAAAAAAAACUAAACUGUAGAAGAGAAGAGUAAUGAUGGCUUUCAAUUAGUGCAAGCGGUGCAAACAGAGAAUGUCAUAUAACAGCAAUUUUAACAGUUCAAUAAUUUAAAAGUAAACUUUCUAAUAAUUUAAUGACUAUUUUAUUACUUUUUAAAGUUAAUUGACCAAAAUAUAAACUUACGGCUCCCAUGAAUGCAUUGCUGAGAUUAGUGAAACCAAUAUUUAAGGGCUGAAAUUUCAUAUUAGUUAUACAUGGGAAUUGGUGAAACAACCUAAUAGGCCCCUCUAUUACAAAGACUUAAUCAAAUUAGUUUAUUUACUAUUAUAUUGUAUUAUUAAAAUGAAUCAAAUUAAAUUAAAUAUUAAUAUUCUUUAUUUUAAAAAAAUGUUAUUCGUUGUUUGAAAAAGUUAAUUUUUUUAAAAAAAAAUUAUGAUUUUAGAAAAAAAAUAUUGUCAAUUGAGUUUUAACUUAAUUGAAAUAAGUCAAUGCAGGAGGAGUUUGAGUGUGCUGAAGCACAUUAUCCUCCUAUUUAUGGGUUAGGGAGGGGCUAUGGAUAGUUCUAGGCAUUAUCUCAAAAAGAGUAGAUAUGAUCAUAAAUGUUAACUUCAUUACAUUUUGAUCUUAUUUAAUUCUUUUUAAUAAUAUAAAAAUUAAAUAAAAAGACUAAUUUGAUCCGAUCUUUAAAACAAAGGGAUGUAGAAGGUACUUUCACCCAUGGAAUUUCUAUUUAUAAAAGAUGAUAGUUGCAUGUAUUGCUUUGAAUCAUUUCGGAUUAGAGUCAUUUUGGAUCGGAUCUAUUAAGUUUGCCAGACGUUAUUUCAGGUUAAGCUAUCUAAAUUUGAGUUAUUUUAGGUUUAAAUUAUUUCGAGUUCGUUUUAUAUUUUGUUUAGGCUAAUUUCGAAUCCGUAUUGAAUAGAUUAAAUUUAUUAACUUUUUAUUAUCAUAUCGAAUUGAUAAAAUUCGACAAAUUUAAAAUCGAAUUGAUUAGGUUGAUUCUGUGAUUCAUCUCUAAAAAAUCAUGAUGUGCCACGGUGAAGAUAUAAAAUUCAACAACAACAAAACAGAAACGACCCCAAAAAAUUGGGACAAUCUCUAAUGUUUCUUACCGAGGAGAAAUUAAUUACUGUAACAAAAUUCAAAGAUCCAUAUUGUCGUGAAACUGCAUUUAUAUAUAUGUAUAUAUAUACACAUAAUUCAAUGAACAUGAAACAUUAAAGAGCAAAAGAGUGUUACGAAAUCAUAAGGUAAGAGAAAGAGACAUUGAGAUUUCUGUGAUAUAUAUAAUUAUGAUCUGUCUAUUUCAUUUGGACCAACAUUAAUAUCUCAUAUUUACAAUCAUCUUUAAAAAAAAAAAUAGUGUUAUGAGAAAAUUAAUGGAAGAUUUUUUAUUGAUGUGAAAAAAAUGUUUAUAAUUCAUCUUUAACCUUUAAAUAAAAUGAUAAAAGUAUUUUAGUGCACUCAAAUCUAUAUUUUCGAUGCCAAUUGACACAACACACACUUAUAUAUAGGAUAAUAUUAGAUGCAUCCAUUGGUGUAACGAGAAAUUUUUUUGGAGGGAUCAAAAUUACAUUAAAUUUUUUUAUGAGAACUAAAAUGUAAUAUUUUUCAUUGUAAGAUUAAAACUUUAUAAUUUUUAGAAAAAAUAAAUCAUAAGUUUAUCAUUGUAGGGGCCUAAAAUGCAACUUUAUCAUAUAUUGAUUUAUAAAUUUUUGAAUUUUAUAAAGACUAAAACAUAUAUUUUUCAUUUUAAGGGGUCGGAGUCCUUACCUACCUUCUCUAGUACGACAUUUGGAUGCAUUGUUAAUGCAUGAAUGUUAGUGAACUAUAACCAAAAAAAAGAAAAAAAAGGAAAAGGCUUUAUUGUGAUUCCCUUACCAUAUAUAAGACUUGUGUGCUUAUAUAUAUUACAUUAUGUCACACUUACAGUGUGAUAAAUAAUAAAUUGAUAUAAAAAAUGUUGAAACCGUAAAGUUAAUAUUUUAAAGAUUAUGGUGUUUUUGAUUUAAAUCAUAUCAUAUAUAAAACUACUCUCAUAAUAAUAUCUAUUACUUUGUAAAAUAAAUGAGUUUUGGGUACUUUUUCAACUGAAUUGAUACUCGAUUGACUCGUGACACUAACUUAAUAAAAAACUUAAGUAUUAGUAUAUAUAUAUAUAUAUAUAAUACAAUUAGCUAUCAACCACAUAUUUGAAAAAAGAUAAAAGAGUUGAGUUGCAAAAAAAAAAAAAAAUCCACAACAAUCCAAAGCUCUCCCAUUUGUGGUUUAUAAUGUUAACAUCAAAAGCAAUGGCUUAGAAUAAACUAUCUUAUCUAAAUAUACUAUUUGAUUCAAUAUUUCUUUUUCUUUGAAUUUUAUUGGAGUUAAACUCAAUUUAGUUUAGUUCGUUUUUUGGAUUUUUUUGAACUCUUUAUGAUAAAUCAGUUCGAUUUGAUUCAGUUUUGAGAUUUAUUUUGAUAAAAUAAAUUUCGUUUUAUGACUUUGGCAUCAUAUUUGAUAAAUUUUCAAAAGAAAAUAUAAUAAAAAAAUCAAUAUCUCUUAUGUAAUAUAUAUUUUUAAAAAUACAAUUUUCAUAAAAAAAAUCAUCCAAAACUCUUAAUUUGAAUACUUUUUUUUUUUUCUUAAUGACCCAAGCUAGUUUGGAGUUAAAAUGGACCCAACUAGCUAUGAACUAGAGGGCUUGGGCUUCGCUUAUUUAUCCAUCCAAUACCAAUAUUCUUCUUUAUUGCUCUCCAACUUGAAAUUAAGGGGUAAUCUAGUUGAGUCGAGUUCAAAUACUGUUUAGUUACUCGAAAUUUGAAAUUCGAUACUUGACUUGGACUCAAUCGGAUAUUUUUUUAGACUCGAGCCUAGCUUGAGAUAUAAUUGAAUUACUCGAUUUUGAGCUUGAUUAAGCCAAUUACUAAUUUUGGUACUCAAGUUCGAGCUCGACAUGAUAAUUAAUCUUAAUGUUUAAUAAGAUAUAAAUUGAGGGUAAUAAUGUAAUUUAAUAAUUUCAUGAGCUGUUCGAGUCAAUUAUUACUAAACCUGAAUUUGGCUCAAUUGAUAGCUUGAGCUGCUCAAGCUCUACUCGAUAAUUACUGAAUUGAGUUUGAAUUUUUUCGAGUCAAACUUGAGUAGCUUGCGAUUAUUAGUGUCUCGUUUACACCCCUACUUGGAUGAUGAUUAAAAUAGCAAAUGAAAAAAAUAAUAAUUAAAAUAUAGUAUAAAAUAACAUUUCUUAUAAAGCUUAGGGGAUUUUUUUUUAAUUUUGAUAAUAAUCCAAGUCCUUUUUAACUUAUUUGGCCAAAUAUUAUUUAAUGUUGAAUGUAUAAAUAUGAAAAAAAAAUGGUACAUUUCAAAAUUUAGGGAUUUACAGCUUAGAAAAUUAUUUUUAACACUAUAUUAAAAGCCUCUAUGGUUGAAGUCCAACUAGUUGUUAGAUUAACCAUUUAGAAAAUAAAUAAAUUGACAAGAAAUUAUCAAAAGUAAAAAAUAUAAAAAAAUUACUCGAAUAGUGUUAAAUCCAAAUUAACUUGAACAUAAAGCUAACCCAAAUACGAAACAAUUUAAAUUCAAAAUGACUCAAAUAGCUAAACUCGAAAAUUAUUUAAACUAAAUUUAUCCAUAGAUUUUAAAACUCAAAUUUACUCGAUUUAAGAUAAACCUAAUCCAAAACCAAUCGAAUGUGCGAAAUUAAUAUAUACUUGGGACUUGAAGCUUUACAAGUCAACUUUUGCAAAUAGACCAACAACUUGUUGAGAGACAUGUCAAAAUCUUUAACCACUUAUAAAAUAAAGAAAGACAUAAUAUCUUCAUGUAUUUAAUUCAUCUAUUUUAAUUAGAUUAAUUUUAAUUUUUGUAUUUUUCGAAUUGGUCGAUUUUAGUCUUUAUACUUUCUCGAAUUUUGAAAUCCUAGUUCUAACUGAAAUAGUAACAGUUAAAUUCGUUUGGGUAAAUUUAGUUACUAGUUUUGUAUUAUGUUUACUGUUGUAGGUUUAGUCAAUAUUCUUCAAAUUGAUCGUUCUAAGUCUCUAUACUUUUCGAAUAUUCAAUUUUCAAUCUUGACAAAAAUGACAAUCAUUAAUCCAUUUACUGAAUUCCAAGCGAGUGAUAUAUGAAACUAACAAGCUUACAAUGGUAUUGAAAAAAAGAUAAUUUGUUUGCCUCAUCAAUUUUGGAAAUAACAGAAUUUAACAGCGGGCAUUUAGUAAAAAUUGAAAUUCUAAAUUUUAAAAAAAUACAGAAACUAAAAUGACUAAAUUAAAAUAUAAAUACUAAAUCCACAACUUUCACAAAAUAUAGAAACUAUAAAAUAUAAUUAUAACACAAAAACAAACCAAAACAUCAAAUACACUGAUUGUAAGCCAACAAAUUAUAGGUAGCACUAAUAUGCACACAUGCUGGCGUAUUUGCAAUUCACCAAACUUGCUAGGAGGGGCCUAAAGGGGGGGGGGGUACUCUAAGCCCCAAUGUUCUUCUUUCACUUUCAAAUCAUUUACAAAUUUUAAUUUUAAAAAAUAUUUUCAUAUUUAAAAUAUAAAAAAAUAUUUUUAUAAUUUAAUAAUUUUUAAUAUUAUAUAUUUAAAGUAAGUUUGAAUGGACGGUGCAUUUACCCCAUCUAAAUCCAUCCUAAAACUUUAACUCCGUGAGACGGUAAGUAGUUGGCAAUGAGCAGCAACAACUUUGUCUAGUGGUCUAAAAAGAUACCAUGACAAGUAGCUGAAAUAUCUAAGAACAAGACAAUGAUCCGCCUAACACAAACCGUUGUUCAUGCUCAAUUCCAUUUUAGCACGAACAGUUGGAGGUAUAUGGUUUAAUUCUAGUUUUAGUCCCUGUAUUAUUACUAAAAUUCAAGAUUUAAUCCUACAAAUUUGAUAUGGUUUUUUUUCUUUAUAACAUUAUUAAUAGGCCCAAUUUGAUAAUAUCGUUAGCUGUUAUCCUUAAAAAAGAUGAUUUUAUUUAAGAAAAAAGGGCCUUAAUUAAAUUUCCACAUUGUUCUAAAUAUAUGAUUGAAUAAUAAUAAUAAAAAAUUUCCUUAAAAAAAUACAUGGCUUUGAUAGAAAAAUUAAUGAAAUUGUUAUUUUGAGCUUAUUAAUAAUACUAUACAAAUAAAAGAAAUUUUAAAGUAUAGAGAUUAAAUUUUAAAUUUUAGAAGAAUGGGUGAUGAAUAAUCUUUAUUUAUCAACCAUUGACGGAACUAAAGUUGGCCUUGGCCUUCCAAAAAUUUUGAAUUUUUUUUCAUUAUGCCCUUUAAAAUUAUUAAAAUUUUUAACUAGGUCCUCUCAAAUUUUUUUGAACAUUGUAAUCAAGCUCUCUGAAAGAUUUGAAAAUUUUAAUUAAACCUGAAGUUAUUAAAUUGUUGCUAGUGAUUUAACUAAGUGUUUGGAAUGAACAGUAGAGAAGUGGACACUUCUCUGGCACCAAAUUUGAAAACCAAUAAUACAAAGAGCACACAUGAAUUGUUUACGUAGUUCGUUUUCUUUAUGUUUACAGAGCCUAGCUCAAGGAAAAAUAUUCACUCUCUUCAACAAUUACAACAAGUGACCCUAACCCAUCAUACACCCCGUAAUGAUUCAGAAUUCUUAGUACAAAAAUCUAUACAAGUCUCUCCCUUAAGUAGAUUUAUGUUCAAAACUUGCUAACUAGAAGGUCUAUCACAAUCCCAUUAAAACAAUAAUAAGAUAACUUGUUUACAAUGUAAAAAUAGAGAAUAAACAAUCGUAUACUUUUAGCAAGUAGACCUGAGGCUCGGCCCGAAGGUUCGCCCGAAAAGUGAGCGGGUUUGGGCAAUGAAUUGUCUGUCCUCCAUGUGAGUUUCCCAAGUAAUACGACGUUCGUUGUUGGGCUUAAUGUUCUCGAAAUAAUAGCACAACUCAUUUAAAACUGUUCAGUAAAUUGCCAAAUUUUUAAAAAGAUUCUCAUUAAGCCCUUCAUAUCUUAAAAAUUUUGAUUAAACCCCAAAAUUUUAAAAAAAUUAAUCAAACCCCCCACAACUCAACUCUUUUCAAAUCAAUACCAAGAGUGAAAUCAAACAAAAGGGGUAUUAAUUAUAAAAGGAUAAUUAAUGGUUUGCCAGCAAUAGCCAACAAUUUUAAUCACUCUUCCCUGCUGUUUUAGUGUCUCUAUUCUCUGCCAAUCAUUUAAGAAGAUUAUCAUUCUUAAUUUAUCCUAUUUAGAACAUUUUUGUCGGCGCUUUUGUUUGUUUUUUUAAUCUCAUUUUUUAUAUAUUUAAUUAAAUUUGCUAACAAAUUAAUUUAAUAAAACAAACCCAAUUUAACGUUUGAACAAUUUAUGUAAUAUUAUAUAAUUAACAAUUUUUAAAAAUUUAAAAAUAAUUUUUUAAUUUAUUACAUAAAUUUAAUUUAUUGUAAUGCAAAUUGAGAGGUUAAUUUUUUAAUUAAUUUGUUAAUUAAUUGAUGCAUAAUGAUGAGUUUCAAUUUUAUUUUUGGAUAAGAGAAUUAUUUAUGAUAUUAUUAAAUUUAUUUUAUUAAUUUAUUAAUGCCAAUGUCAAUGUCAAGAAGCCAGAAAUGUACAGCCUGUCUUCACACUUACGUUUCCUAAUAAAUAAUAAAAAUUGUUUGAAUAAAGACUUAAAUUUAAUAACAAUAAAUAAAUACCAACAAAUGAAUUUUUUGGGUAUAAUUUUUUUUUUUUAAAUGAUGACUCUUGUUUUGAUUGUAUUUGCAAAAGGGAGAAAAAACGACCAAAGCUGAAAAUAGGUAAAAUUGUUGUUUUAGUCCUUUUAGAUAUAAUUUAGAUUAAUUCACUUCAUUUUAUGGAUUGCUGUAAUAUAACACUUAGCUAUUAACUAUCUAGGCUUCUUAAUUGCAUGUUUAAUCAUUGUUCAUUCUCCAUACACCCGUUCUCUUUUGGGUUCGGCCGUUGAAAUGCUUUAAAUGUUCCAUUGUGCACUUACAAAUAUUAUAAUUGACCUGUCACACUCACAACCACAGUUAAAACCGCUUUUAAAUCUCAAUAUUUUGUGCUAAUUCUCUGCUCAGUGUUCGUAAUUUGUACACUGGCACACGGUUGAAUAUUAUAAAAUCAAAAGAAGGCUUGAUUAAAGGAUAUAGACUGAUAAACAAAGUCAUAUAAAAUUAUUAUUUGUUGGCAUCAUACAAGGUUCGAAUACUCUAUCACCCAUUCUUCUCCCCUUAAAAGAAGGGUAAACUACAUUAUUAGUCACUAAACAAUAUGCAAGUUUUCGUUUUGAUCACUUAAUUAAAAAUUAUAAUUUGGUCACUAAAUUAUUCAAAAAUUUUCAUUUAAACCACAAAACUAUUUAAAUUUUUUUAAUUAAGUCACUUGAUUAUUAAGUUUUUUUUUAAAAGUUCCGUUGACGAAUUCCAAGCAACGAUUCGACAAUCGGUAUGGUAAAUUAGUACCCAUUGACGAGUAGAAGAACAUACAUUAGAUCUAAGUUAAAUUGACGAUCAGUGUUGGAGAUUAAAGAAAAAAGUUGUUUGAAUUUUGAUUCACAGAUUCUUAGCAUUUAAAGCUGUUUCAUGAAAAAAAAUAAAUUAUAGAAGAAAAGGAGAAAGAGAGCUUUUAAUUGGUGCAGGCAGUGUGAACAAAAAAAGCCAUAUAACAUUGAUUUUAACAGCACAAUGACUUAAAUGAGAACUUUCAAAUAGUUCAAUGAUCAAAUUAUAACUUUUUUAGUUAAGUGACCAAAACAAAAACUUACCCAUAGUUUAGUGACUAAUGGUGUAGUAUACCCUUAAAAGAAAGCAUAUAGACUAAGUACAAAAAUUGAGCAUAAGAGAAGGACCAAAACCGUAAUUUGACUCUUUACUUAGAAUAGCAAAAUGGGCUUUGGCUAUUUUCUGCUGACACGUAAUCUCUUCUCUUCUUUUUCCUACUCACUCGAGUCUCGACAUUUCCGAGGUACACACCCAAUAUACAAAAUCUCUCUCUAUUUUGCUCAUAAGCCUCACUCUCUAAGCUUUGAAUUUUCCCAGGUUCGUUUCAUUUUUUUUAAUUUUUUGUUAUAUAUAUUUUUCUAAAAAUUGUUAUUUGUUGGGUUUUUAAUGAUAUAAUUGUUUCUUUCUGGGUACAUUCUAAUGGUCAAAAGAACGAAUAUGCUUUAAUUCCAUCAACUGUCCUCUUUUUUCCCCAUUUAUUUAUUUUUAUUUUGAUUGGUUCAAUCAAGUAUUCAAAUCCCUUUUUUUCUUUUUUCUUUUUGAGUUUACAACUGAGAAAUAUACUAUAAAAUAGAAAAAAACCCAGAGUUUCUCAGCUGUUUUUUUUUAUUAUUAAUCUUGUUUGGUUUGCUUUGAUUCAUGUUUUUAUUGUUUCAUUUUUGUGGAGUUCACUUAGCAUUGAACAAUUCCCAAAUUUAUACGUUAUUGUCUCGCUAUUGUUUUGUUCAUCAGUUUUGUAACUUUCUAACUGGUGCGUUAUUUUUUCUUUAGCUAAGAAAAAAGCAUUUUUUUUUAUUGAUCGGGUUCUUGAAUUAUGUAUUGAUUUUGAGUUUUAUAAUCUGGGUAUUUGCAGAAUUGUAAGUUCUAUACUUUUCGGAGUGAGAUUUGAAGAAUCCUAAUUGACAAAAAGGCAAUCUUUUGGGAUUGGGAUUUUAUAUUAUGGUUGAAUUUUCAACUGUUUAAGAUCUGGGUGUGUCUUUAGAAUUUUCAAAGGGAAGAGGAUGUAUGCUGUGGGGAGACUAGGUAGCUAUAUAUCUCGUGGUGUUUAUACUGUGUCUGGUCCAUUUCAUCCCUUUGGUGGUGCUGUUGAUAUAAUUGUAGUUGAACAACCUGAUGGGACCUUUAAAACAUCACCUUGGUAUGUUCGGUUUGGUAAAUUUCAAGGGGUUUUAAAGACAAGGGAAAAGGUUGUUAGUAUCUGUGUUAAUGGAAUCGAAGCGAAUUUCCAUAUGUUUCUUGAUCAUAAAGGGGAAGCAUAUUUUUUAAGGGAAGUAGAUGGUGAAGAAGGGGAAUCUGAAGGUGUUCCAUUUCCUUUUCCUUCUGGAUAUGAUACGGAUGAGCCUAUGUCUGGUAAUAGAAUGCCAAUGAAGUCUAAAAGUUGUAACUAUGAUGCUGAUAGGUCUAAUUCCGCGGGUGAAGUUGAUGUGAGUAAUGGGAAGAUUUUGGCUAGGACUACUUCUCGGAGGUCACGGAUAUUUGGACUUGUUUUUGGACGGAGGUCGAUGAAGGAGGAUGGUUACCAGGAAGCUAUAGGUGCUGCUGAUGUAAUGAGGUUAGAUCCAUUGGAGCGUGCUGAAAUUGCUGCUGACUUGUUGGAGGUGAAGUGGUCUACUAAUCUUAUAUCUAAUAGAUCAAAUACUAAUGGUUCUGGAUUACCUUCCACGAAUGAUGCAUUGGAUGAUAAAGGCUCCGAAGAGCAUACACUGAUUACUCGUGAAGAAAACCAGUUUCAAUCUUCAGUACAUGAUGAGGAGGGAAAGAAUAAUGUUGAAGAAAACCAGUUUCAGUCUUCAGUACAUCAUGAGGAAAAUGGUGUUGGUCACCAGACAUUACUAGAGGAAACUGAAUGCUGCAACGAGCAAAAGGUCAGUUCUCAUUCCGGCCUUGAGAAUGUAGAGUAUUCUGUCGAGGAAUCUAGCAUACAAGUGUCUUAUCUAGGCAUGGAGCAACAACUUGAUGAAACCUCAUCAUUAGGUGAAGGUUUUAUGGAAGAUAAAAGCAAAGUAAUAGUCAAUAAUUCAGUAAGUAUUGAUGACCUAAGUGUUGUAAAUUCUGAUCACAAUGAAAACGACAUGGGUGCUGUCUUAGACAUGAGUGGUCCUGAUCUACAAUGUCAACUUAACUUUGAAGAAUUUACGGACAAGCGGUUUGGCGAAGAACCCGAUGGUAAUGAAAGGAAUGUUGUUUUACCAGUCCCCGGGAAUUCCAAUAAGGAGGUUGUUCCAGAGAGUCUUCAAUCUGUUGUUUACUCCAAAAUGUCAGAGAGCUCGGUAAUAACUUCGGAUGGUUCAAGCGAACAAACUCAUCAAAUAAUGAGCUUUUCCAAUGUAGGAAAUGGGAAAUUACGUGUUCAUGCUGAAACACUGGUUAAAAUGACUGCGCUAGUGCCAGAGGUGAAACGCUUAUUCAAAAUGUUCCAUAUAGUUGCCGAAACAUUUUAAACAAAUCUGAUUUUAAGUAUAUUUUGCACCUUAUUUAAUGAUGCAUUGCUCUUUUGAAGGCAACCACAUUUGAAAUUAUAUGAACCUAAGCUUUUUCUUUGAAUAAUAUUCUCUUGAUUGAUAAUUAAAAAUUGUUACUGAAACUGAUGGAAUAGAUGGUUAAACUCAGGUUACGGUUCUUAAGCAAACAGAGGACAUGGAGUUGGAUUCUGAAGGGGAAAUAACAGUCUCGGAAUCCUGCUCUCAAAUGGCUAGUGUUGACCCUGUAAUUGGUUUAGAAGAAAUGAAGUUACAUAGCUUUCACACCUCUUCCCCCAUCAGUGAUUUGGGUGAUCAAGCUGAAGAUGAGAAAAAUACUGACGAUGUUGUCCAUUGUUCUUUGGAGUCCGUUGAUGAUUCUCAAAACUUUUAUCAUGAUCGUGACCCCAAGAGAUGUAUUCCACCAUCAGAGAGUUCUGAUGAUGAACAAUUCCUUUUUAGUGACCUCGAUGAACUCAAACUUUGUGAGCCAGAUUCUGUAAAUAAAGAUCUCCAUCCUUCAGCUUGUAUAGAAAAUGAAGGAAAUGGUUUGUGUAAUGUUAAUAACAAGUCAUAUUUAAAUCCUGAUAAUUUUGUUCAGGAGAAUCCUUCAAAUGAUCUAGAAGACUCUGUAGGAAAGUCAAGGACUAUAUCUAAUCCUAUUAGUAUUUCUAGAAAUCAUAGAGUAGCUGGUGAGAAUAAUGGGUUGCAGGUGGAAUCUCUUCCUAAUAUGUGGUCUCUUGAUGCCAAGUUUGAUGCAAAUAACCAUCGUCCUGUAAGCCAUUCUAUGGACUCAAGUUCUGGAACCAUGAAGUGGACAUCAAGCACGAAAGAUGAUAUGAGCUGUAAAAGGUCGGAUGCAGAACAUGGAAGGUCUAGUAGUGAUGAGAGCGAGACUUCAGGGAAACUGAAAAAUACUCUUUAUAAUCCUGCUGUCGGUAAGAGCAAUUCAUUAUCCUUUUGUUUUUCUUUUCUUUGAUCGUUAAGAGAACAUGGGUACUAUGUACCAUAUUAAAAUAGAUUUCUUGGUCCCAAAAGGACAAUAGAAAGCACUCAAGAAAUUAAUUAUCAUGCUAAAGUACAACAUGCCUGCUACUUGUUAUGAUUUUUGGUUAAACAUUAAAAGAAAUAUUGUCUUUUUGGUGUAACUGCUCUCUAGGCUAUAAAUUGUGGAAAGUGACAUCCAUUGUGCUUUAUGCAGAGAUAUCUCUUUGCAAACACUUACUAUAUGAAGGGAUGGGGGCUGAAGCUGCAUGUGAAGUGUUUGAUGCUGAAAAACUGGAUAGCAAAAAAAUUAGCUCUUUAGGUCCUCCUGUUGUGAAGAGUGAUAAACUUGUUGUUCGAAUUGGUGGUCGUUACUUUCCAUGGGAUGAAGCAGCACCUAUUAUUUUAGGGAUGGUUGCGUUUGGAAGUGAAAAAAUAUUUGAACCCAAAGGCAUGAUACCAGUUGACAGAGUGGAGAAAUCCAUUGAAGGGGAUCCAUCAAAAGAUGUUUCCCGUAGUGGUAGCUGGAGGCUUUGGCCUUUUUCUUUGAAAAGAUCAAGAUCUAGAAAGGCUGUGCAACUGGCUUCAGCCGAUACCAGAGAUUUGGAUGCUGAGAUUGCUGCAGAGGUUACUGUUGCUAUUGACGAUGAUAAAAAUUUGCUUAAAUCCAAGCAGAUGAAGAAAAUGAUCAGGGCAAUCACUCCAACCUCUGAACAGUUGGCUUCGUUGAAUCUAAAGGAUGGGAUGAAUCAUAUAACCUUCACGUUUUCAACCCCAAUGCUAGGGAAGCAGCAGGUCCUUUUUGUUGAAUCCUUACUUGAAGUUACAUAUUCUUUCUGAAAUCUUAUUUAGUUUUAUGUUGUUAAGAUCAUUCCUGAUUUAUCACUUGUUGUCCUGGAUGUGCUCACUCAAAAGCAUGUAAUAAACAGGUUGAUGCCAGAAUCUAUUUGUGGAAAUGGAACACUCGUGUAGUAAUCUCAGACGUAGACGGGACAAUUACAAAGUAAGGAUGUUUCUUAGAUUUACUGGCAUUUAAUUUAUUCUUACUGGCAUUAUUUAUUCUUACAUGCAGCUUUAACAUAAACUUUUGGAUAACUUUCAGUGAUAUUUUGUUUUGUCUGCAAGUCUUAAUCUUGGCUCAAGUUCAUGNNNNNNNNNNNNNNNNNNNNNNNNNNNNNNNNNNNNNNNNNNNNNNNNNNNNNNNNNNNNNNNNNNNNNNNNNNNNNNNNNNNNNNNNNNNNNNNNNNNNGUAUUUUGCUCUUUCUACUAAAAAAAUGGGCAAAUUAGUCUCUGUAAAUUAGAUCAAAGAGCAAAUUGAUUAUUUCUUUUAAAAAUUCAUCCCUUUGUACUGUUAAAAAGGCGUGGCUAAUAGAAUAAUCAGACAGUGACAGGUGGCAUAUCGCAUGCUCCUCAUGUUGGCGUACAAGGACAAGUCUUUAACAGAAAAAAUGGAUGGAGUUUUUAAUGAAAGGACUAAUUUGCUUUGUGAUCUAAUGUACAUGAACUAAUUUGCCCAUUUUUUGAGUAUAGGAGCCAAAAUGCAAUUUGACUUCUAAUACAAGAGCUUCCAUGAUACUUUUACCCCAAACUUUCUCUUCUAAUGGUUUUGUGAUUGUAGGGUGAGGUUGCCGUGAACCGUCGUGUUGACACAAAAUCUUAUACAUCUCUUCACGCCCUUGUUCAUGGCAUGUUUCCACCGACGACCUGCUCCGAGCAGGUUUUGCUACGUUUUCUUUUCCCUUUAUCUCACAAUGACUAUUGGUACUGGGUUGUUGCUUAAGUUCUUUACUUCUAUCGAUUACAGGAAGAUUUCAAUUCGUGGAAUUUCUGGAAACUGCCACCUCCUGUAUUCGACAUAUGAAGUUGUUGGCUAAAGUAUGUUGCUUUAGCAUUUGGAUGCCAAGAUAGAUGGAUGAUGAUUUCUUCGAUCAUUCCGGAGCUGUCCAGGUAUAAAAAUUUGAUGUUGGUUUUGCCUGUACUUCCCGAGAUACCACCAGCUAUUAUCAUAAACUGUUUAUAACAUGAUAACGGUGGCGAAUUACAGGUUAUAAAUAAUCAUGACUGCUUGAAGAACUUUCACCCCGCUCUCGAAGGUGCAGAUUUGGUCAACUUUCGGUUGUCGUCGAAAAUAAUUUAUUUGAAAUUUUUUAUAGAAUCUCUGAAGCAUUAUAUUGGCUUCAUUGUAGUUUGAUUUAUAAUUUGUAUAGUGAAUUAUUGUGAUCCCACAAACAGUUCCAGUAUGUAUACAUUCAUGGGAGAAAAGGGUAGUUCUAAUUAUUGUUUAUAUAUAUAUUUGUUGCUUAUACAAAAUAAAUCUUUCAUUAUUAGUUCAUAGGAGAUUGCUUGUAACCCAAUCAACCCAAUUCUUUCAAGUACAUAAUGUUAUCUUUUAAAGAAGAGUGAAUCUAUUGGAUUUACCCUUUGUGUACACUGAUGAAAGGAACUCAGAAUUUUCCCAUUGAUUAACAAAAAAAUGGAAUAAAGUAAAUGGAUACGAUUCAAAUGAACGCUUCACCAAUGCAAAAUUCUCACAUUCAAGUGUUUCUCUGCAAAUUCCGCAAGGUUUUUGAUCUCAUUAUCAUCAAUGAAGCCACUACCAUUGGCAUCCACCGAUCUGAUUAGACGCUUGCUCUUCCUCCUAGUGAACCAUCCACCAUUGGAGACUCGUAUAGCAUUGGCAAGCUCGUCUCUGCUAAUCCUGCCAUCUUUAUCAUCAUCGAAUUUCUUUAACCAUCUUUUGAACUCAUCUAUCGUCAUUUCCCGCUUGCCAUCCAUGGAGUACGCACGAGUUUUAAUGGCCAUUUCUGAUAAAUAGAAGCCCGGAAAUUCCCUUCGUCACACUGUAAUUUGCUUGCUAACUUCCCCAAUGUACAAACUUUUGAAGGUUUCUAAUAUUUAUACCAUUCCCUUGUGUUUUGUGCCUUUGCAAAUACAAUAUAUAGAAACUGAUUGGCUUUAGCUUAAUUUAAACAUGCCGAAAGCGUAUUUUAAGCAAAAGCAAAAGUCCUUAAAACUUUAAGGUUAAAUUAUAGUUUUGAUCCCUCUAUUAUACUUAAAUUUGGGAAUUAGUUUUUAUGCUUUAAUUUGAUAUGAUUUGACAUUCUACUUUUACAAUGUCACUAAUUGAUCGAAACAUGUAACACCGUUAACCUUUUGUAUUGCUUUGGUCUGUAUACUAUACAUAAAUUUAGGAUUUAAUCUCUCUAUGCUUUAACUAAGCAUAAUUUAAUAUUCUACUUUUAUAAUGUCACUGGUUAGUUGAAAAAAGUAACACUAACUUUUCCUGUUAAAAUAUUGACAUGGGUUUUCUCUUAAAACCAAUCCUCCCAACUCAUCAUGCUGACAUGGAAUUUUUUUAUGACAAAAACGGUGUUUUAAAGAAAAAUUUACUACAAUAUUUUAACCGAGAUAGUUAACAGUGUUAACUAAUUAACAUAAUAGAGGGACUAAACCCAUAAUUUGUCCAAACUUUUAGACUCAAAAUUGUUUAUACCAUAGGAAACAUUAAUGAAAUAGAUUUAUCAAUAGCUUUUUUUUUGCAAACUUUGCCUAAUAUACUUUUAUUCCUUCUUUACUUAAUUAUAAACAAAACCUAUAAAAGCCAUAAAAAAGUACUAAAAGUGUUUGAUGCAUGUUCAAAUCCAUGGAACCUGGCGAUAUGUGGUGAUUAAUAUAUGAAACCUUUGGCAUUGGUAGCCAAAAAAAGGACAUUAAAGAAAGGAUAUUUGAGCCACUUUAUAGGAGCCAAAGCUGUGUACCCCUUGAUGGCUUUGAUAGUGCUAUUGAUAUUUCACAAAUUAGUAGUUUAAAAUCCAGUUUUUUUGGUGUAGAAUUAAGUUUUUUUUCAUGUCUGUUUUGCGAUCUAUAAAGAUAUUAUAUCGGGAUUUAUAGUUAUUCUUCUAACAAUGUCAUCUUGAAGGUUUGAACUUGAGUUCUUUCCUUAGAAAUACAAUGUGCUUUAUUAUUGCACCCAAUACUUAUUUGUAAAAUUCGAUAUUUUUAAACCCUUCUUCUGUCCUCAAAUUGCACCCUCUUUUUUAACCGAAAAAAAUGAUUUUUUUAAAUGAAAACUAGAUUAUGACACACCCACAAUAUAAGUAAAAAAAGAUUAGGUAUUAAAUAUAUUUAUUAAAAGUUUAUAAAAAAAUUAAAUGAAUAAUUGGUUGAAAUGGUAAACUUAAAUAUUUAAAAUUCAUUGUGACACAAGUUCAAAUCUUACAAUAGUUGAGUUGUUAUUGAUUUUAUAUGAAAUGUAAAAAAAUAAAAACACUCUCUUAAUAAUGUAACUUACUUUAUAUAUAAAAGGGUAUUUUAAUAUUUUUCCAAUUGAAUUGGUGCCCGAUUGAUAUAUGACACCAACUAAGUUAGAAGCUUAAUAUAAGUAUAGAUACUAGAAUGACUAAUUUUCGAUUUUCAAGUCCAUUUAAUUGAAAAAUGAGCAUUUUAAGGUUGUUUUUUCCUCCCUUAAUUUCUUAAAUUACUCUUAAACACUUAAAUAAUUUUACUUACUUGAGGUUAACUAAGUAUUAGUCAUUGAUGGAGUCUUAGCUCGAUUGGCAUGGACAUUGUUACAAGUCCAGGAGGAUAUGGGUUCGAGUGUGUUGAAGCGUAUUAUUCUCUUAUUUAAUAGUUGAGAAGGGAUUAUUGGUAGUUCUAGACAUUGUGUGAUUAAAGAACUAGAUUAAGCUAACGAAGUUGAACACAUUCAUGGGAGAAAGGGGUAGUUUAGUUAUUGUUUGAAAGAAGCGAGUCGACCACUAGAACUAUUGCUUUUAGAACCAGAAAUAAAUAAGCUUACCCUUUCAAUUGAUUCAAAAUUAUCAAACGUAGACUGAUGCUUUAGUCAAAAAAUUUGAUAAUCAAAAUUAUCGUGUUGUAAGAAAAAAUAAAUAAAAAAUUGAAUCCAGUUGGGGAAGAAUCAUCUUGUUUUGAUGACCUUAUCAGAAUCAGAAUUUUUUAUCAUAUUGAUUUCUACUCUACCUUUCCUAAGUUCAUUCUCGAGGAACUCCAUUUCAUUUAAAGCAUUUUGUUGAAUUCUUUCCGAUCUCCCUAUUUUCUAAUUUCGUUGGAAAUCAUGUAGACAAUUCCUAUUUCACAAAUCAUAUAUAUUUGUUGCUCUUACAAAAUAAAAUUUCAUUAUUAGUUCAUAGGAGAUUUGUAAUCCAAUCAACCCAAUUUUCUGAAGUACAUACUGAGAUGAAUGCAAUCUUUUAAACAUGAUUGAAUCUAUUGGAUUUAUCUUCUGUGAAAAGAACUCAGAUUAUUAACAUUGUUUGAUCAACCAAAAAGGAAUAACUAAAGGGAUACGAUUCAAAUAAUCACUUUACAAAUACAAGAUUUUAAUGUUCAAGUAUUUUUCUGCAAAUUCCGCAAGGUUUUUGAUCUCAUUAUCAUCAAUAAAGCCAUUACGAUCGGCAUCCACCGAUCCGAUUAUACGUUUGCUCUUCCUCCCAGUGAACCAUUCACCGCGGGAGACUCGUAUAGCAUCGGCAAGCUCGUCUCUGCUAAUCCUUCCAUCCUUAUCAUCAUCAAAUUUCUUUAACCAUCUUUUGAACUCAUCCAUCGUCAUUUGCCGCUUGCCAUCGACGACAGAGUACGUACGAGUUUUAAUGGCCAUUCCCGAUAAUCGAAGCCCGGAAAACCCUUGGUCGCACCCUGUAAUUUGAUUGCUUGCUAGCUAUCUAGCCAACUUCCCCAAUGUACAAACGUUUCAAGGCUUCUCAUAUUUAUACCAUUCCACUGUGCUUUUGCAAAUACAAUAUAGAAGUGGAUUGGCUUUAGCAGCUUAAUUAAAACAUGCGGACGCGUAUUUCAUGCAAAAGCCAUUACUCUUUAAAAGUUUAGGUCAAAUUUUAGUUUUGUCCCUUCUAUUAUGCUUAAAUUUAAGAUUUAGUCUCUAUGUUUUUUUUUUAAUUUUAAAUAAUCUCAUUAUAGAUUCUGAUCAUAUCUGAUCUUUUUGAUACAAUACCUAGAAUUACCUAUAGCCCCUUCCCGACCAUAAAUAGGAGGAUAAUGCGUUUCAGCACACUCAAACUUAUGUUCUCCUGCAUUGAUAAGAAUACUUACGCCAAUCGAACUAAGACUCAAUCGAGUAGUCUCUAUGUUUUAGUUUGGUAUAAUCUAUUAAAAUGUUAACAUGGUUUUUUUUUCUUAAAAAGAUCAUGCCAACUCAUCAUGUUGUGACAUGAAUAUUUUUAAGAUGAAAGCUAAGUAAAUGAUCAAAUUACAUCAAAUUAAAGUGUAUUGACUAAUUCUCAAAGUUGAACAUAUCAGAGGGACUAAAACCAAAUUUGACCAAAGUUUUAAACACAAUUGUUUUUUUUUUCUUUGGAUAGAAUUAAAGACAAUUGUUGGUACCCUAAAAAGCAUUGAAAAAAAAAAUAGAUAUAUGGGUAGCUUUUUUGCAAACGUUGCCUAAUAUUCAUUUGUUCCUUCAUAAGUUAGCAUAAACAAAGGCAAUAGGGUCAUAAAACAAGUGCUAAAACUAUAUGAUGCAUGUUCAAAUCCAAGGAACCAGACGACAAGUGAUUAAUAUAUGAAAAUCUUGAGUGAGUUGUCGGCCACUAAGUUAGGCAAUUAUGUUAAUACAAUCUUUGGUGUAAAGGGUCAUUAAAAAAUGGGAUAUUUGAGCCGCCCCGUUUUAUAGCAAAUGUUGUACCGAAUGCAUUUAACAGAUGGGCACCCUUUGAUGGCUUAGAAUAGAUUAAUGGUAGUGGGCUACAUAUUUAGAGAUGGCAUGGGGGACUCCAUUUCGAAAUUAUAUAUUAAUUUAUUCAUCGUAAACUCGAUAAAAAAUUAAAAUUAUAUUCAAUUUCGAGUCAACUCGAUUCAAUAUGAUAUAAUUUUUAAAAUUUUUAUAUUUGUAUCAAAUAAAUAAUUUUUAAUUUUUAUUAUCUUAUACUAUUAAAUAAUUUUUAAUUUUUAUUAUCUUAUACUAUUAAUUAUUUUUAAAUAUAAUUAUGUUGGAGUAAAUAUUAAAACCAAUUUAUUAUCAUAUAUUUUAAAUUAACAUUAAAAACUGUAUUUUGCAAAGCGGUUGUACUCGUGAUAUUUUUUGUUGCUUCUGUUGUCACUUGAAACGUUGAUAUAAUUUGCAAGUAUGUUAUCAACUUAAUACAAAGUUGAGAAAAUUCAUUUGCAAAAAUAACUUCAAUCUAUAAUGCAUCAAGAUGCGGGUAAUGCUGGUUUACCAAUGAUUGCUUAAAUUACCAAACAUACUCUUGAAAGAACAGAAGAACGAGAUAAUAGAGACAACACAUAGUGUUAUUCUACUAUGUGUAAGUGAUAAAGUAUUACAAGGGGUAGCUGAAGAGACCACCGCGCCUAUUUCUGGCUCCAAUUAAAGAGAAAGUACAUGAAGAAGUCAUUGAUGAACCGACUCUACCUUAAGCAACAACUUUAUACCAAGAAGAUAGAGGAAGGUACAUCUAUUUCACAACACCCUAAAUUAGUAUAAAACGAGUGAACAAAAUGAAAACUUACUAAAGUUGGGUGACUAAAAUGAAUGUACAAUAACAUUGUCUAACCCCAAAUUAACGGCAGGUAAUCAAAACGGAAAUGGUUCGUAAUACGGUGCCCUUUUUGCAAAUUUUUUAUCUGCAGUACUCAAAAUAAAAAUUAAUGAAAGUUGGGUGACUAACUAUGUAGUUUACCAUUGUUAUACAAAAUAUAUCUUCAUUAUUAUUUAUUAGUUCAUAGGAGAUUGCUUGUAAUCCAAUUUUCUAAAGUACAUACAUCAUAAAUAUAAGAUGAAUGUGUAUGCGGAGGUUUGAUUUUAGAUAAACUCUGAUUGUUAACAUUGUUCGAUAGACCAAAAAAAAAAGGAAGAAUAAAUAAAGAGAUACGAUUCAAACAGUCACUUUACAAAUACAAAAUUUUUGUAGUUGAAUGAUUAAUAUUUGGAGAAAUAAAACAAAGAAAAUGAUAAAGAAUAUAAUGGAGAAGAGAAAUAAAUUUUGUAUGGAAAAAUUCUUUCAAAUAAGCUUUUAUUUCAAUCACACAAGUUUUUAAUUAUUCUUCAUCACAUACAACUAUUUAUAUAGGAGUUGUAAGUGACUAUUCAUCUAUAUCACUAUAUGCUAGGAGUUGUGACUAUUCAUGCAUGUGUGUAUCCUUUCAUAUUCAAGCCUCUUAACUUUUCAUCUUCAAGUCUCUUCACUAUUCAUAUUCAAGUCUUUUCACUCUUCAUAUUCAAGUCUCUUCACUCUUCUAACUUUUCAUAAUUUAUUUGUGCAAGGUUAAUUUAAUUAUGUGCCAACAAUGCCUCCCUUAAAUUAAACUUGCUUUGAACUCCCAACCUUUCAACAUUUUUCUUGAAGACUUGUCCACUUAGAGGCUUUGUGAAGAUAUCAGCCAUCUGAUCUUCCGUCUUGCAAUAUUCAACUUGAACAUCACCAUUAUUCAGUAGUUCCCUCAAGAAGUGAUAUCGAAUGCGAAUGUAUUUUGUCUUUCUAUGAAGAACUGGAUCUUUUGUGACCGAAAUAGUAGAACUAUUGUCACAAAACAAAAUUGUUGACUUGCUUUGCUUCUGCUUAAGACUUUCCAAAAUUCCACGUAACCAAAUCAAUUGACAUCCUGCAUAAGAUGCAGCGAUAUAUUCAGCUUCUGUAGUCGAAAGCGCCACAACUGAUUGUUUCUUUGAGCUCCAUGAAUCUGCACCACUACCAAGGUGAAAAACAUAACCAGAAGUGCUUCUGCUAUCAUCAAUGCUUCAUGCUAAAUCACUAUCUGUAUAACCAAUGAGAUCAACUAAUGUAUUAGCUUUAUAGAAAAUUCCAUAAUCAAUGGUUCCCUUCACAUAUCUCAAUAUUCUCUUGGCAGCCUCCCAGUGAUUGGAGUAAGGUUUCUCCAUGAAUCUACUUACCAAGCUAACAGCAUACACGAUGUCAGGCCUUGUAGAAGUCAGAUACAUCAACUUUCCAACCAAACUUCUGAAUAUGGUGGAAUUGACUAUCUUUCCUUCACCCUCUUUAGAUAACUUUAGACCUGUAAUGCAUGGAGUAGAGACUGAAUUCACAUUUUCCAUCUUGAACCUUUUUAGAACUUCCUUUGCGUAGCUCUCUUGUGAAAUAAAAAUUCCUUUCUCAGAUUGAUGAACUUCAAUGCCAAGAAAAUGAUGAAGUUCUCCUAAAUCUGUCAUCUUAAAUUCUGCCAUCAUUGAGUGCUGAAAUUCUUUCAACAUCUUCACAUCAUUUCCUGUGAAAAUAAGAUCAUCAACGUAGAGACUUACAGCCAUGAAUCUUCCUUGAGAAUUGUCUUUGAUGUAGAGAGUAUGCUCAUAUGGACAUUUCUGGAAUCCACACUUCUGAAAAUAAGCAUCGAUGCGGCUGUACCAAGCUCAGGGUGAUUGCUUUAACCCGUACAAAGAUUUCUUCAACUUGUAAACUUUUUCUUCUUCUCCUUUUUUGACAAACCUUGGUGGUUGAUCAACAUAGACUUCUUCUUUGAGAACACCAUUCAAAAACGCAGAUUUUACAUCUAUUUGGAACAUUUUCCAAUUGUUUUGGGCUGCAAGAGAAAUAAGUAACCGGACUGUCUCAAGUCUUGAAACUGGAGCAAAUACCUCUGUAAAAUCUUCUCCUUCCUUUUGCUUGUAUCCUUUUGCAACCAGCCUUGCCUUAUACUUGUUGAUAGAGCCAUUCGGAUUCAUCUUUUUCUUGUACACCCAUUUGACUCCAAUUGAAUUCUUAUGCGGCGGCAAAUCUGUAAGCUCCCAUGUAUCAUUGUCUUCAAUUGAGCAAAUCUCUUCUUUCAUGGCUUUCCUCCAUAUUUCUUCUUGAUAUGCAUCAUCAAAAGAAAUUGGAUCUUCUCCUGCAAAGAAGGCAAAGAAUACAACAUCAUUUUGCACAACUUCAUCAGUUACAUCAUAUAACUCUUGGAUGCUUCUCGUUUUUCGAAUCGGGCUAGAUGAAGAAGAAUUUGAUGAAGAACUUGGGGAAGCAGGAGGAUUUUCUGCUUGAGCAUCAUCUUCAACAUUCUCAAUUACUGCCUCUUCUUCUUCUUCUCCAAGUUCAAAAGGAAAAAUUGGCAAAUUUUCUUUUUCAACUUCCAUAUCUUCAAACAUGGAAUUUUCAUCAAACCGAACAUCUCGGCUUAUCACAAUCUUCUUUGUCACCGGAUUGUACAACUUGUAUGCCUUACUUCUUUCACUAUAACCAAUGAAAUGCAUUUCUCUGACUUGUCAUCCAACUUGCUUCUCAUUGUAUCUGGAAUAUGAGAGUAAGCAACACUCCUAAAUACUCUAAAAUGACGAACACUANNNNNNNNNNNNNNNNNNNNNNNNNNNNNNNNNNNNNNNNNNNNNNNNNNNNNNNNNNNNNNNNNNNNNNNNNNNNNNNNNNNNNNNNNNNNNNNNNNNNGUAACUGCUCUCUAGGCUAUAAAUUGUGGAAAGUGACAUCCAUUGUGCUUUAUGCAGAGAUAUCUCUUUGCAAACACUUACUAUAUGAAGGGAUGGGGGCUGAAGCUGCAUGUGAAGUGUUUGAUGCUGAAAAACUGGAUAGCAAAAAAAUUAGCUCUUUAGGUCCUCCUGUUGUGAAGAGUGAUAAACUUGUUGUUCGAAUUGGUGGUCGUUACUUUCCAUGGGAUGAAGCAGCACCUAUUAUUUUAGGGAUGGUUGCGUUUGGAAGUGAAAAAAUAUUUGAACCCAAAGGCAUGAUACCAGUUGACAGAGUGGAGAAAUCCAUUGAAGGGGAUCCAUCAAAAGAUGUUUCCCGUAGUGGUAGCUGGAGGCUUUGGCCUUUUUCUUUGAAAAGAUCAAGAUCUAGAAAGGCUGUGCAACUGGCUUCAGCCGAUACCAGAGAUUUGGAUGCUGAGAUUGCUGCAGAGGUUACUGUUGCUAUUGACGAUGAUAAAAAUUUGCUUAAAUCCAAGCAGAUGAAGAAAAUGAUCAGGGCAAUCACUCCAACCUCUGAACAGUUGGCUUCGUUGAAUCUAAAGGAUGGGAUGAAUCAUAUAACCUUCACGUUUUCAACCCCAAUGCUAGGGAAGCAGCAGGUCCUUUUUGUUGAAUCCUUACUUGAAGUUACAUAUUCUUUCUGAAAUCUUAUUUAGUUUUAUGUUGUUAAGAUCAUUCCUGAUUUAUCACUUGUUGUCCUGGAUGUGCUCACUCAAAAGCAUGUAAUAAACAGGUUGAUGCCAGAAUCUAUUUGUGGAAAUGGAACACUCGUGUAGUAAUCUCAGACGUAGACGGGACAAUUACAAAGUAAGGAUGUUUCUUAGAUUUACUGGCAUUUAAUUUAUUCUUACUGGCAUUAUUUAUUCUUACAUGCAGCUUUAACAUAAACUUUUGGAUAACUUUCAGUGAUAUUUUGUUUUGUCUGCAAGUCUUAAUCUUGGCUCAAGUUCAUGAAUGACUUAAUAUAAUCUUGAAUUCCUUCUUGAAUUUUUUUUACAGUGGUUUCUUUUAUAAUCUGGUUCUUUCCUAAGUUCUUAAGUGCAGCAGCUAAGGAUUUUCUUGGUCAUUUCUUGCUUCCCUAAUUGUAUAUAUAUGGUUACAGAUCAGAUGUUCUUGGCCAGUUCAUGCCUUUGGUCGGGAUAGAUUGGUCACAAACAGGUGUUGCGCAUUUAUUUUCAGCUAUUAAGGUUGGUUGUCUUCAUUUUCCGUUUUAAUUUCUUAGUUCAUGGUUUUGCUAGUCCUUGCACAACCAAAAAAAGAAACAUCCUUUUGGUUUGUGAACCGUAUAUGGUCUUAGUGCUGAUGUUCAAGCGCACUUAAGCUUGUAUUAUCCUUCGAUUUAAGGGUCCCGGGGGGGGGGUUAGGGGUAGUAGGAGGAAUUGUAUCAACAUUUAUAUAUGCAUAUUGUCUUAGUGGAGGCCCUUGCAUAUGUGCAACCAUUGUCUUAUUUCAUACCGUAGAAAGAAGUGCAUUUCUAUAUUUUAGAUGGAUUCUAAUGCAUGGAUAUGAAUAACAAUGUUAAUAUCAUUAACGGAUCAAAAUUCUUCUUCUAUAUUAUAGGAAAAUGGUUAUCAGUUGCUUUUUCUUAGUGCACGUGCAAUAGCGCAGGCAUACAUCACCAGACAAUUUUUAGUCAACCUUAAGCAGGUAAUCUAUGCUAGUCUAAUGCUUUUCUUUUAUCGAACCGUAAAUUCAAAUAUUUCUUGUUUCCGGUUGUCCUUAUGUGUUAACUUACCACCAUUGCUCUUAAAAAGGAGAAACUUUUUGACAAACAUGAUUUUUUAUCUAUAGGAUGGUAAGGCAUUACCAGAUGGGCCAAUUGUUAUAUCCCCUGACGGACUUUUUCCAUCCCUAUAUCGAGAAGGUAACUCUCUUGCAUUUCUGUGACUUAAUAGAUUUAUGACAUUUCUGCAAUAACUAACACGACAAUCCAUGGCUGUACCUUCAGAAACUGAUGCAUGAGACUGAGACCUGCAAUUAUAACCUGAAAAAAAGAAUCAAAAGUUUAGUUGUUAUGACACUUUGAGCUGCAAUAAAGUCAAUGAAACCUUGUCCUAUUUUAUUUUGUUUCUGCUAUCAUGUAGGAAUUAAGCUUCCUAUGAAGUUAAAUGGGCUUCAUAUUCAUAUUCAAUAUGUUAUUAUUCUGGUUUGGGUCAUAUGAUUUUAACCCUUCAAGCAUACCAGAGUUUAUUACAUAUCUAUAUCUCAAACCACAUUAUUUAAACUGAAACAUCCUAUUUAUUUUUCAGUUAUUAGAAGAGCUCCUCAUGAGUUCAAGAUUGCUUGCUUAGAGGUUAGUUUCUCUGCUCGGUUAUUGGAAGAGCUCCUCAUCAUGAGUUCAAAAUUCGGAACAUUUUAAUUUUUUAAUAUAUAUAUUUUUAUAUAUAUAUUUGAUUUACAGGAGAUUAAGGCAUUGUUUCCAUCUGAUUGCAAUCCAUUCUAUGCUGGUUUCGGGAAUAGAGACACAGAUGAAAUCAGCUACGUUAAGGUCGGAAUCCCGAAAGGGAAAAUCUUCAUUAUUAACCCAAAGGUAAUUAAUUAGCGCUUUCAUGCUUAAAGAAAGGCGACUGUAUACUUCUAAUGUUUCUGCACUAAACUUUCGGUAAAAGUACCAUGGAAGCCCCUGUGGUAGGAAUUAGAUUGUAUUUUGCUCUUUCUACUAAAAAAAUGGGCAAAUUAGUCUCUGUAAAUUAGAUCAAAGAGCAAAUUGAUUAUUUCUUUUAAAAAUUCAUCCCUUUGUACUGUUAAAAAGGCGUGGCUAAUAGAAUAAUCAGACAGUGACAGGUGGCAUAUCGCAUGCUCCUCAUGUUGGCGUACAAGGACAAGUCUUUAACAGAAAAAAUGGAUGGAGUUUUUAAUGAAAGGACUAAUUUGCUUUGUGAUCUAAUGUACAUGAACUAAUUUGCCCAUUUUUUGAGUAUAGGAGCCAAAAUGCAAUUUGACUUCUAAUACAAGAGCUUCCAUGAUACUUUUACCCCAAACUUUCUCUUCUAAUGGUUUUGUGAUUGUAGGGUGAGGUUGCCGUGAACCGUCGUGUUGACACAAAAUCUUAUACAUCUCUUCACGCCCUUGUUCAUGGCAUGUUUCCACCGACGACCUGCUCCGAGCAGGUUUUGCUACGUUUUCUUUUCCCUUUAUCUCACAAUGACUAUUGGUACUGGGUUGUUGAGUCUUUUCACUCUUCAUAUUCAAGUCUCUUCACUCUUCUAACUUUUCAUAAUUUAUUUGUGCAAGGUUAAUUUAAUUAUGUGCCAACAAUUUUCACAUUCAAGUAUGUUGCUUUAGCAUUUGGACGGCAAGAUAGAUGGAUGAUGAUUUCUUCGAUCAUUCCGAAGCUGUCCAGGCAUAAAAAUUUGAUGUUGGUUUUGCCUGUACUUCCCGAGAUACCACCAGCUAUUACCAUAAACUGUUUAUAACACGAUAAUGGUGGCGAAUUACAGGUUAUAAACAAUCAUGACUGCUUGAAGAACUUUCACCCUGCUCUCGAAGGUGCAGAUUCAGUCAACUCUCGGUUGUCGUCGAAAAUAAUUUAUUUGAAAAUUUUUAUAGAAUCUCUGAAGCUUUAUAUUGGCUUCAUUGUAGUUUGAUUUAUAAUUUGUAUAGUGAAUUCUUGUGAUCCCACAAACAUUUCCAGUAUGUAUACAUUCAUGGGAGAAAAGGGUAGUUUUAAUUAUUGUUUAUAUAUAUAUAUAUUUGUUGCUUAUACAAAAUAAAUCUUUCAUUAUUAGUUCAUAGGAGAUUGCUUGUAACCCAAUCAACCCAAUUCAUUCAAGUACAUACUAAGAUGAAUGUUAUCUUUUAAAGAAGAAUGAAUCUAUUGGAUUUACCCUUUGUGUACACUGAUGAAAGGAACUCAGAAUUUUCCAAUUGAUUAACAAAAAAAUGGAAUAAAGUAAAUGGAUACGAUUCAAAUGAACGCUUUACCAAUGCAAAAUUCUCACAUUCAAGUGUUUCUCUGCAAAUUCCGCAAGGUUUUUGAUCUCAUUAUCAUCAAUGAAGCCACUACCAUUGGCAUCCACCGAUCUGAUUAUACGCUUGCUCUUCCUCCUAGUGAACCAUCCACCAUUGGAGACUCGUCUAGCAUCGGCAAGCUCGUCUCUGCUAAUCCUGCCAUCUUUAUCAUUAUCGAAUUUCUUUAACCAUCUUUUGAACUCAUCUAUCGUCAUUUCCCGCUUGCCAUCGACGGAGUACGCACGAGUUUUAAUGGCCAUUUCCGAUGAAUAGAAGCCCGGAAAAUCCCUUCGUCACACUGUAAUUUGCUUGCUAACUUCCCCAAUGUACAAACGUUUGAAGGUUUCUAAUAUUUAUACCAUUCCCUUGUGUUUUGUGCCUUCGCAAAUACAAUAUAUAGAAACUGAUUGGCUUUAGCUUAAUUUAAACAUGCCGAAAGCGUAUUUUAAGCAAAAGCAAAAGUCUUUAAAAGUUUAAGGGUAAAUUAUAGUUUUGAUCCCUCUAUUAUACUUAAAUUUGGGAAUUAGUUUUUAUGCUUUAAUUUGAUAUAAUUUGACAUUCUACUUUUACAAUGUCACUAAUUGAUUGAAACAUGUAACACCGUUACCCUUUUGUAUUGCUUUGGUCCAUAUACUAUACAUAAAUUUAGGAUUUAAUUUCUAUGCUUUAACUUAACAUAAUUUAGUAUUCUACUUUUAUAAUGUCACUAGUUAGUUGAAAUAAUUAACACUCCUAUUAAAAUAUUAACAUGUGUUUUCUCUUAAAAGCAAUCCUCCCAACUCAUCAUGCUGACAUGAAAUUUUUUUAUGACAAAAACGGUGUUUUAAAGAAAAAUUUACUACAAUAUUUUAACCGAGAUAGUUAACAGUGUUAAUUAAUUAACAUAAUAGAGGGACUAAACCCAUAAUUUGUCCAAAAUUUUAGACUCAAAAUUGUUUAUACCAUAGGAAACAUUAAUGAAAUAGAUUUAUCAAUAACUUUUUUUUUUGCAAACUUUGCCUAAUAUACUUUUAUUCCUUCUUUACUUAGUUAUAAACAAAACCUAUAAAAGCCAUAAAAAAGUACUAAAAGUGUUUGAUGCAUGUUCAAAUCCAUGGAACCUGGCGAUAUGUGGUGAUUAAUAUAUGAAACCUUUGGCAUUGGUAGCCAAAAAAAGGACAUUAAAGAAAGGAUAUUUGAGCCACUUAUAGGAUCCAAAGCUGUGUACCCCUUGAUGGCUUUGGUAGGGGUAUUGAUAUUUCAUAAAUUUGUGGCAGUUUUUCGGGUGUAGAAUUAAAUAUUUUUGAUAUCUGUUUUGCAAUCUAUAAAGAUAAUAUUUCGGGAUUUGUAGUUGUUCUUCAAACAAUGUCAUUUUAAGGUUUGAACUUGAGUUCUUUUCCUAAUAAUACAAUGUGCUUUAUUAUUGCACCCAAUAUUUAUUUGUAAAAUCUGAUAUUUUUAAACCCUUCUUCUGUCCCCAAAUUGCAGCCUCUUUUUUAAUCAAAAAAAUGUGUGUCUUAAAUAAAAAUUAAAUUAUGGCACACCCACAAUAUGAGUAAAAAAAGAUUACCUAAUAAAUAUAUUUAUUAAAAAUUUAUAUAAAAAUUAAACGAAUAAUUGGUUGAAAUGGUAAACUUAAAUUUUUAAAAUUCAUCAUGACACAAGUUCAAAUCUUACUAUAGUUGAGUUGUUAUUGAUUUAUAUGAAAUGUAAAAGGGUAUUUUAAUAUUUUUCCAAUUGAACUGGUGCCCGAUUGAUAUAUGAUACGAACUAAGUUAGAAGCUUAAUAUAAGUAUAGAUACUAGAAUGACAAAUUUUCAAUUUUCAAGUCCAUUUAAUUGAAAAAUUAGCAUUUUAAGAUUGUUUUUUCCUCCCUUAAUUUCUUAAAUUACUCUUAAACACUUAAAUAAUUUUUCUUACCUGAGAUUAACUAAGUAUUAAUCACCGAUUGAGUUUUCGCUCGAUUGGUAUGAUUAUUGUUGCCAGUGCAGGAGAAUAUGAGUUUGAGUGCGCUGAUGUGCAUUAUCCUUUUAUUUAUGGGUAGGAGAGGAGUUAUAAAUAGUUCUAGACAUUGUAUCGAGUAGAAUAAACUUUUCACGCAAGAUUUAUUUUUUAGCCAUUUGAAUUUUGCUUAUUAAGUUCGUGAAGUUGAAUACAUUCAUGGGGAAAAGGGUAGUUUUAAUUUUUGUUUAUAUAUAUAUUUGUUGCUCUUACAAAAUAAAAUUUCAUUAUUAGUUCAUAGGAGAUUUGUAAUCCAAUCAACCCAAUUUUCUGAAGUACAUACUGAGAUGAAUGCAAUCUUUUAAACAUGAUUGAAUCUAUUGGAUUUAUCUUCUGUGAAAAGAACUCAGAUUAUUAACAUUGUUUGAUCAACCAAAAAGGAAUAAAUAAUGGGAUACGAUUCAAAUAAUCACUUUACAAAUACAAGAUUUUAAUGUUCAAGUAUUUUUCUGCAAAUUCCGCAAGGUUUUUGAUCUCAUUAUCAUCAAUAAAGCCAUUACGAUCGGCAUCCACUGAUCCGAUUAUACGCUUGCUCUUCCUCCCAGUGAACCAUCCACCGCGGGAGACUCGUAUAGCAUCGGCAAGCUCGUCUCUGCUAAUCCUUCCAUCCUUAUCAUCAUCAAAUUUCUUUAACCAUCUUUUGAACUCAUCGAUCGUCAUUUGCCGCUUGCCAUCGACGACAGAGUACGUACGAGUUUUAAUGGCCAUUUCCGAUAAUCGAAGCCCGGAAAACCCUUGGUCGCACCCUGUAAUUUGAUUGCUUGCUAGCUAUCUAGCCAACUUCCCCAAUGUACAAACGUUUGAAGGCUUCUCAUAUUUAUACCAUUCCACUUUGCUUUUGCAAAUACAAUAUAGAAGUGGAUUGGCUUUAGCGGCCUAAUUAAAACCUGCGGACGCGUAUUUCGUGCAAAAGCCGUGACUCUUUAAAAGUUUAGGUCAAAUUUUAGUUUUGUUACUUCUAUUAUGCUUAAAUUUAAAAUUUAGUUUCUAUGUUUUUUUUAAAAAAAAAUUUCAUUAUAGAUUCUGAUUAUAUCUGCUCUUUUUGAUAAAAUACUUAAAAUUAUCCAUAGCCCAUCCGCGACUAAUAAAUAUGAGGAUAAUACGCUUCAGCGCACUCGAACUCACAUUCUCCUGCAUUGGCAACAAUGCUUACGUUAAUCAAGCUAAGACUCAAUCGAGUAGUCUCUAUGUUUUAGUUUGGCAUAAUCUAUUAAAAUGUUAGCAUGGUUUUUUUUCUUAAAAAGAUCAUGCCAACUCAUCAUGUUGAGACACGAAUAUUGUUAUGAUGGAGGUUAAGUAAAUGAUCAAAUUACAUCAAAUUAAAGUGUAGUGACUAAUAUCUAAAGUUCAACAUAUCAGAGGGACUAAAACCAAAUUUGACCAAAGUUUUAAACACAAUUGUUUUUUUUUUCUUUGGAUAGAAUUAAACACAAUUGUUAAUACCCUAAAAAGCAUUGAAAAAAAAAAGAUAUAUGGGUAGCUUUUUUUGCAAACGUUGCCUAAUAUUCAUUUGUUCCUUCAUAAGUUAGCAUAAACAAAGGCAAUAGGGCCAUAAAAGAAGUGCUAAAACUAUAUGAUGCAUGUUCAAAUCCAAGGAACCAGACGACAAGUGAUUAAUAUAUGAAAAUUUUGAGUAGAGUUGUCGGCCACUAAGUUAGGCAACUAUGUUAAUACAAUCUUUGGUGUAAAGGGUCAUUAAAAAAUGGGAUAUUUGAGCCGCCCCCUUAUAUAGCCAAAGUUGUACCCAAUGCAUUUAACAGAUUGGUACCCUUUGAUGGCUUAGACUAGAUUAAUGGUAGUGGGCUAUAUAUUUAGAGAUGGCAUGGGGUACCGAGUCGAAAUUAGAUAUUAAUUUAUUCAUUCUAAACUCGAUCUGAAAAAUUAAAGGUACUCAAUUUUGAAUCAAUUCAACUCAAUAUGUCAUUUUUUUAAUUUUUUAUAUUUUUAUUAAAAUAGAAUAAAUAAUUUUAAAUUUUAUUAUCUUAUAUUAUUAAUUAAUUUUAAAUAUAAUUAUGUAGGAGUAAAUAUUAAAAUAAAUUUGUUAUCAUAUAUUUUAAAUUAAUAUUAUAUAUAAAAACUGUAUUUUGGUAAUUAUCUUAAAAUAGGAUGAGGCGUUUUUUUUUUUAAAAUUGAACCUCGACCCAAUUUAAAAAAUUGAAAAAUUAAACCAACACUAAAAUUUGAUUUAAAAAAAAAAAUCUAACCCUAUCAAGCCGAGUCAAGUUAGAAUUCAUCAUGAGUAUGUUUACGAUCCCUAUAUAUUUUAUUGGAAACCUUAGUUUGCACCAACCGCCAACCACGAAUAGAUGGUUCAAAGAAUUAAGGUUUAGCUUAGUUAGUGUAGUCAUACUUCAGAGAUAAUAUCCAGUAAAUAAGGUAUUGAUUCAAUGGCAAUGUUUAAGCUUGAUAUUUUACAAUGUGUGGGUAAAUUUAGGGGUUAAAAUUAUAUUAUAAAUUUUUGGGGUCAAAAGAUAAUUUCAACAUUAUAUUAAUUUAUUAUUUUUUAAAUUUUAAGGGAUUUAAAAGAAAUUUUACCAUUUUAAGAUGACCAAAAUCAUUGCUUGCCCCUUGCAUUCACUCCUAUGUGUGGGAUCUCAAAUUUGUUCUGGUUAUGUUAGUUAGGUUGUGUUUAAUUAAUUAUUCAAUUUAGUGUUUAUAAUAAUUGAUUUUAAUUGGAAUGAUUUAUAUAGCUGUAAUUUGAAAUGAAAAAAAUGUUGUCCAACAAAUCUAUGGGUUAUGUCACAUAUGGCUUGAAAGCCUUAAAAUUUUAAAAAAUUCUAAGAUUUGUAGGCACCAAAUUGGUGUGGCAAUAAAUAUUUGGUGUUUCAAUUGUCAAACCAUAUUAAAUCACUAUUGAAUUUAAGGCCAUGAAAAAUACUAUAAAUAGGUUUUAAUUCUUAGCCAUGAAACACAUUAAGAGAGAGUGAAUGAGAAAAUUAAUUAGUCUGCGUUCAAAAAGAUUGUGUAAUAGUUUAUGGAUGUGAGUUGUAGACUUUUCAGGGUUAUGCUUUGAGGGUUGAAAUACUUAUAAUAUUCAUUUUGUUAGGGUGAAAUGUUUUGUCGUUUCCGUCUGUGGAUGCAAGUUUUAAAGUAUUAGUUUCUUUUUGUACAUUAUUUGCUGUUGUGUGUCUUAUUUAUUCUUAGUAAAUUCAUUUAUAGUCAUAUUGAUAUAUUUGUUUUAAUCCAUUCUCAAUAAAUUGGUGUAAAAGUUUCGUUUCAAUUGCUUUUAUGGUAUUUGCAAAGCGAUUGUGCUCGUGAUAUUUUUUGUUACUUCUGUUGUCAUUUAAAAUGUUGAUAUAAUUGCAAGUGUGUUAUCAACAGAAUACAAAGUUGAGAAAAUUUAUUGGCAAAAAUAACUUGAAUCUAUAAUGCAUCAAGAUGCGAGUAAUGUUGGUUCACCAAUGGUUGCUUAAAUUAUCAAACACACUCUUGAAAGGACAGAAGAACGAGAUAAUAGAGACAGCACAUAGUGUUAUUCUACUAUGUGUAAGUGGUAAAGUAUUAUAAGGGGUAGCUGAAGAGACCACCGUGCCUAUUUGUGACUCCAAUUAAAGAGCAAGUGCAUGACGAAGUCAUUGAUGAACCGACUCUACCUUAAGCAACAACUUUAUACCAAGAAGAUAGAGGAAGGUACACCUAUUUCAUAACACCCUAGAUUGUUAUAAAACGGGUGAGCAAAAUGAAAAUUUAUUAAAGUUGGGUGACUAAAGUGAAUGUACAAUAACACUGUCUAACCCCAAAUUAACGGCGGGUAAUCAAAAUGAAAAUGAUUUGUAACACGGUGCCCUUUUUGUAAAUUUUUUAACUGCAGUACCCAAAAUAAAAAUUAAUAAAAGUUGGGUGGCUAUGUAGUUUACUGUUGUUUAUACAAAAUAAAUCUUCAUUAUUAUUUAUUAGUUCAUAGGAGAUAGCUUGUAAUCCGAUUUUCUAAAGUACAUACAUCAUAAAUAUAAGAUGAAUGUGUAUGUCGAGGUUUGAUAUUAGAUAAACUCUGAUUGUUAACAUUGUUCGAUAGACCCCCCAAAAAAAAAAGGAAUAAAUAAAGAGAUACGAUUCAAACAACCACUUUACAAAUACAAAAUUUUCACAUUCAAGUAUUUUUCUGCAAAUUCCGCAAGGUUUUUGAUCUCAUUAUCAUCAAUAAAGCCAUUACGAUCGGCAUCCACCAAUCCGAUUAUACGCUUGCUCUUCCUCCCAGUGAACCAUCCACCGUGGGAGACUCGUAUAGCAUCGGCAAGCUCGUCUCUGCUAAUCCUUCCGUCCUUAUCAUCAUCAAAUUUCUAUAACCAUCUUUUGAACUCAUCGAUCGUCAUUUCCCGCUUGCCAUCGACGACAGAGUACGUACGAGUUUUAAUGGCCAUUCCCGAUGAUCGAAGCCCGGAAAACCCUUGGUCGCACCCUGUAAUUUGAUUGCUUGCUAGCUAUCUAGCCAACUUCCCCAAUGUCAAGAUAUUUGAAGGUUUCACAUAUUUAUAUCAUUCCCUUGUGCUAUGUCCUUUUUGCUAAUACAAUAUAGAAAUCGAUUGGCUUUAGCUUAAUUAAAACAUGCAGACGCGUAUUUCAAGCAAAAGCCACGUGCAUUAAAAGUUUAGGGUCAAAUUAUGGCUUUGGUCCCUCUAUUAUGCUUAAAGUUAGAUUUUAAUCUAUAUACUUUAAUUUGACAUAAUUUAAUUAUCUACUUUUAUAAUGUCUCUUAUUAGUCGAAAUAGAUGACACCGUUACUUUUCAUAUUAAAAUGUUGACACGGGUUUUUAAAAAAAAAUCUUGCCAACUCAUCAUGACAUGGACAUUAUUGUGAUGGAAGCAAUGUUUUCUUUCUAAAAAAUAUCUAUGUUUGCAUGUUAUCCAAAAUAAUUACAAUGUUAUUAUCUAUUCAAACUAACUAAUCACGUUAUAUAAGUAAAGGAUUAAUUAUACUAAAUUAAAAUGUAAUUACUAAUUCUCAAAUUUGACCAUAUUAAAGGGACUAAAACCAAAAUUUGACCAAAGUUUUAAACACAAUUGUCUUUUUUUCUUUUGUUGUUGUUGUUGUUGUGGCGGAUAUAAUUAAACACAAUUGUUAAUACCCUGAAAAGCAUUGAAUAAAAAUAGAUUUAGGGGUAACUUUUUUGCAAACGUUGCCUAAUAUUCUUUUGUUCCUUCAUAAGUUAUAGCAAAAACAAAGGCUAUAGAGCCUUAAAGUGUCAUUAAAAAAAAAGGGAUAUUUGAACCACCCCCGAAGCUGUACCCAAUGCAUUUAACAGUUAGGGACCCCUUGAUGGCUUAGAAUAGAUUAAUGGUAGGUGGGCUACAUAUGUUAUUGGAAACCUCGAAGGGGGCCUAAAUAAUAUAUUAUAAUAGAAAUGAGGGACAAGAUUAGGCCAAUCCCCAAUCACUAAUAGAGGGUUCAAGGAAUUAAGGUUUAGCUUGGUUUGUGUAGCCAUUCUUAAGAGAUAAUCUCCGAUCAAUCAGGUAUUGGUUCAAUUGGUAAGGUAGAAAUUUUGAAAACUUUGAGAUUUUGGUUUCAAGUUUCACUUGAGGUAAAUGUGUGGGGUGUUUUUUCUCUAGAUUUAAUUUAUUUCGGUCAUAAUUAGUUCCUGUUUGGUUAAUUAUUGAGUUAGUGGUCCAGUUCUGUAUUUGUAAUUGCUGAUUCUGAUUUAAACCCAACAUUUUAAAAUCUUCUUUUGAAACGACCAUUGAAUUACCUUUAAUUCUUUAAAUCCUCAAUUAACUUUACUUAUAUGAUAUUAAUGAAUAUUAACUCGACUGACAUUUAUAUUAUUGAAAACUCUUGAAGGUUACAUGUUCGAGCGAACUUAAUUGCAUAAUAUCUCACUUUAAAAAAAGGUUAUUUGCCUAUAUCAAUAAUCAGUGCCAAUUAAUCUAAUAUAUAGCUUUAAAAUCUUCCUCUACAUGAAACUUAAUUGCUGUGGCUAUUUAGAAUUUUUUUUUGCCUGAAUUGUCAAUAUGUAUACAAGAAAGAGUAACACAAUUAAUAUAUUUCAACCUUGAACAUGUAAUGAAAAUAGCUGAUUGAGUCUUAACUCGAUUGACAUGGGUAUUGUUGCUAAUAUAGGAAGACGUGAGUUCAAGUGUGCUAAAAUGUAUUAUCCCCUAUUUAUGGGUUGGGAAGGGGCUAUGGGUAGUUCUAGGUGUCAAAACCCUUUUUUUUGAAAUCGACUUUUUAUUAAAAAAAGGAAAAUAGGGUCACCACCAAUCACUUUCAAGAGGUGUGAUUGGGUCAUCUCGUAAAUUGGUCGUUUUAAUAAGAAGUUUGAUUUACUAAAACAAUGUUUUUCGGUCUACAAAAAUCCAAAAAAUAGGUCCGGGAGUCGGUUACGCACGAGGAAGGAUUAGUGUAACAACUCGUUUUCAGUGAAAUUAGAACAGUGGUUUUGAGACCACAAAUUCGAGUUCGGAAGGAAAAUUAUUUUAAUAAUAAUGCAUGGUCUGCAUUAUGAUAGGAAUGUUGUAUGAAAAUUUCGUUAAGAAAAUUUUACCGAUUACAUGUUUAAUUGAUAAAGGGACCAAAUUGCAUGAAAUGCAAAAGUUGAGUUCUAGUAGCUAUAAGUAUCAAAUAGCUAUGGAAUUCAAAAUUAGAGGUCCUUAUAUGGCAAAUAGACCAUUAAGAGGAGUUAGUAGAUAAGUAUGAUGAUUCAUCUAUGGAAAAUUGAUUAAAGAAAAGGACUAAAUUGGAAAGUAAAAAUAAUAAAAGAUGAUAAGUAAUUAAAUAAUGAAAAAUAUCAUCAUAUUAUCAUCUUUCCCAAAUCAUUUUACAUGGAAACCCUAGUUAGAAGAGCUUGAAGGUAGCAAGCUUAUUUGGCUCAAUUAGCUGAGUAUUCAAGUCCCGUUUUUAAUAAUUUUUAUGUUUCCGAGAUCGUAAAAGCUUAAUUUAGCUAUCUCGGGGAUUAAUUUGCAAAGUUAUCAAAGUACUAGAGUUUUUCCAUGGAUGAAUAUAGUUGAAUUAUGAAUAUUUGUGGUAGAAAAUGAAAGGUUGUUGAUAGAUAAACAACUUUUGUAAAGGGAAUCUUGAUGAAAUUAUGAUUUAGGGACUAAAUUGAAAAGUUGUCAUAUUACAUGGGCUGCUAUUGUUACAUGUAAAAAUUAGCUAGGCUUGGAAUAAUGAUUAAAUUACAUGAAUUUUAUUUUUCGAGCAUAGAGACAAACUUGGAAUUAAUUAAAAGUAUAGGGGCAAAAUAGUAAUUUUGCCUAAGAUAUGAAAUGGACAGAAUUGAAUAUGAGUUGUAUUUAAUUGAUGUUAAAUUCAUUCGUAUAGAUCCGGAUAGAUCAAAAACAGAGUUAGAUCGUGGAAAAGAAAAACUGUCAGAUUAGUAGAUUUUAUGUACACGAACAAUUAUCGAGGUAAGUUCGUGUAACUAAAUUGUGUAUAUUUAUAUGUUUGAAUUUAAUGUUGUAUAUGUGAAUUGUAUAAAUUCUAUAUGUAUGAAGUUGAUCACAUAUCCGAUAAUGCUCGAUAAAUAAUAAGUCCCGUUUGGAUAAAUGAGAUUCGAUGGAUACAGGGUUCCCGAAUUGGUUGUGGUCCUGCAUUGCGGACACAUCACAGCUCGAAAAAGCGUCCUGUUCUUAGCCCUCUCGAGCUUCUCGUUAUAUGGUUCCUGCGAGCUUCCCGUUAAUAGCUCUUCGGAGCAUCCCGAUUGGUUGUGAUCUUGCAUGUGUUGUGGACACAUCGCAACUCUUAUGAGCGUCUCGAUAUAUGACUCUUUGUGAGCUUUUCGAUUAAAGGCUCUUUGUGAGCUUUCUGAUUAAUGGCUCUCCGGAGCUUCCCGAUAUAGCUCGCUUGAACUUCUCGAUAUAUGGCUAUCCGGAGCUUCCUGAUUAAUGGCUCUUCAGAGCUACCUAUUAUUGGCUCACAUGAGCUUCCUGAAUAUGACUCUUAUGAGCUUCCUGUUAUACAGUGUGGAUAAACUUCCCGUUAUAUGACUCGAGAGAGAGCUUCCCGUUUAUGUGCUUAUAUGAGCAUUCUCGAAUAUGAAUUGAUGGUUUACAGUUUUGUACACUUCAAAUGUACUACCCUUGUAUCCAUCGAUAUUUUAAAUGAUUUAACGGGUAUAGUUCUGAUAUGAGAUGAUAUGAAUUCAAGAUGAAUUAUUAUGAGAAAUACUUGAAAUACAAAGAUAUGAUAUGUACAUGUUCAUGGACACUUGAAGUGAUAAAUACAUGUAUGUGGAAAUUGAAUAUUGAUGAGCUCAUUCAUGUUUCUUGGUAUUUAUGUGAAUUACAUUACUAACAAGCUUGAUGAGGAUAUGUGUUUAGGCAAUUAGCCAAAUUGGUUUGAGUAUGUUUAUUUGCUUACCUUAAAUGUGAAUUAAUUGGUAAGUUAAUUUCCUGUUAUACAAACUUACUAAGUAUUAAAUGAUUACUCUAUUUUAUUUCCUCUGUUUUAUAGUAACCCAGAAGCUUGUUAAGGUUGGAAGUUGGUCGGAGCCAUAUCACACUAUCAAUCGCCCUUUUUCGGUAUAUUUAUUAAAUCAACUUUGGGAUAAUGGCAUGUAUAGGUUAAUUUGGCCAUUGAUGGCAAGUAAAUGUUUUGUUGUGAUUAGCCAUUUGAAUGACUUAUGCUUGAUACAUUUUGAUAUAUACAUAUAAGUAUAUGGCCUUAUUAUGGUUAAUAUGUAUCUUGGUAUAAUUGAUUGAUGGUUAACUAAAAGGCAAGUUGUAACAUGGCUUGAGUUGAUAUAGUUGGUACAAAUAUGAAUAUAUAUAUGUAAGUGAUCAAUUUGUUAAGUAUGGAUACUUGGUUAUAUAUGAUGAUAUGAUAUGAUAUGAUAUGUAUAAGACUUUGUUUUAGCUUAAUUCAAAUAUUUUAUAUUGGUUUGAGAAUGUACUUAAGUGUUAUUGUAGGUGGAAGACAAGUUAUUGUGAGAAAUAUGGCUAGGAAAUGACCUUAUUUUGUCCACAUGGGCAGAGACACGGGCAUGUGUCUCAGCCGUGUGUGACAAACGGCCUAGCGCAUGGGCAUGUGUUUUGGCCGUGUGCCCUUAGCAUCUUAAAAAUUUCAAAAUAAAAUGCUUAAAAUUGAUCACACGGCCUGACACACGGGUGUGUGGCUUGGCCAUGUGACCCCUACACCUAUUUAAUGCAAAUUUUCAUGUUCACACGGCCUAGCACACGGACGUGUGGCUUGGCCGUGUGACCCAAGUUAGAGAGUUACACGGGUAUGCACACGGGCUGGGACACGGUCGUGUGCCCUAUUUUGAAUAUCCACAUGGCCUGAGAGACAAACGUGUCUCUUGCUCACACGGCCUGACCACACGGGCGUGUGUCCCUUGUACCUUGGAAAAAUUUUGAGAUUUUGCAAAAAAAAAAUCUUUAAGUACCCGGUUUAGUCCUGACUUGUUACUAAUAUAUGUUUUGGGCCUCGAGGGCUCAUAUAAAGGACUUUAUGAAUAAUAUCUGACAUGAAUGUUAACUAAUAUGAAAUGUUUGUAUUUGAUAUGUUUAUUCCGGUAAUGCUCCGUAACACUGUUCCGGCAACAGAUAUUGGUUAGGGGUGUUACAAUUAGCACCCUCGUUACGCCCAAAAUUGGUACCUAAUUGAUUACUUAAUGUCAUAAUGCGAAAAUUGAAAAUUUGAAGGGAAUUUAAAAUGUGAUCCCUUUGUAUUAAGAUAUUUUAAUAGAAAAUGCUUUAUUUCGAAUAAAUCGAGAAAAAGGAUCAUGCCCCGUGAGUUAGAACACGACGCCUUUAGUUUUCAAAAACCAUAAUAAUCGCCGUAUUAAUCGUUACUUAAAUCUCGUUUUUAUAUUUUUGAAAUGGAUAUUCAACUAUUUCAGUUUUAGAAAAAAGUCAUAUUCCGUAAGUUAGGAACAUGACUCUUCUAAUUCCAAAAAUAAUGAACAUUUGCCUCGGUUUAAAAAUUUUCUUUUUUAUGCAUCGUGCGAAGAAACGAACGUAACACUUAAAACGAUGUGCAUUUAACUUAUUCGGGCAUAAUAUACAAAUGGAUAAAUGCUUAAACCUAAUGUAUGAUAUAGUGACAAUGAAAUAAUUCAAAAUGGCCAUGUGGGUAGAAUGAUAAAUAAUAAGUAAAUAACGGAGUACUAUAAUAAUAACAUAAUAAUAAUCUGAUUAUAAUAAUAAAAUAAAUCAGGUAAAUAAAAAUAAAAAUAAAAUGGAAAAUACAUGAUUAAAAAGGAUAAAUAAACAUGACAUGAAAAUGUCAAAAUUAAUAAAAUAAAUAAUAAAAUAAUGAGAAAAGAAAUAAAAAAAUAAUGACAAUAAAAAAAAUACACAAAUAAAAGAGUAUAAACAAUCUAAUUUUUAAGUUUAAAAAAGAAAGAAAAAAUAGAUAAAUAAAUAAAAACACUUUGUAAAAAGUUAGAAAUUAAAUAAAUAGAGGAUUUAAUUGAAAUUUAAAUGAAAUUAGGGGGUAUAAAUUGUAAAUAAUAGAAAAUAGACUAGUAAGGAUUAAAAUGUAAUGCGUUAAAAAGGACAGGGACUGAAUAGGAAAAUAUCCCCUGUCCUUAUGUGCAUCGUUUCUCAGAAGGACCAAAAUGAAACAAAACCAAAAUUAUGUGGUAAAAAUUAAAAAGAGAAAAAGGAAAUAGGACUGGAUUGAAAUGCCAUAAAAAGCGGAAGGACCAAAAGCAAAAAUAGACCCUUUCUUAAGGAAACGUGCGGAUCCUGUUACUAACCAGCUCGGGUCGUCGGGCCCUACUUCGAAACGACAUCGUUUUGGGGAGUUCGAAUAAAAAAAUAAAAAAUCAUUUCAGAUAGUUUAAAAAAAAACAGUUUUCUCUCUUUAUUUUUUCGUCUCUCCUUCGUCCGGCCACAGGGAUGGUGGACCUCGCCGUGGCCACCGGUAAUCGGCGACGGCCACCGUCGCCUCCGAUGGCUGGAAUUUAAAAAGUCUAUAUAAUAUUUUUUAAAAAAAAUGGGAAGACUAGAUCAGAUGGUGAUUCCCUCUAUUAUUUUUUUAAAAAGCAAAAGAAAAAGGGAAAGGGGGUUUCGGCCUCCUGGGCGUCCCUUUCACACCCUCUUCUUCAAUAGAGCCCCAACGAAUCCCAAGGGAAUCAAGGGCUCCUCCACGUCGGAGAUGGGUCGUUUCUCCUCGAGGGCGACGAAUCUGCCCACCCACAGCGACAGUGCAAUAAGAGCGAUAAGGUUUUUUUGUUUUUGUUGUAUUUAUUUUUAUAUUUUUUGAAAAUAAACAAUGAAUAAAACAUAUACCUUUUGAAUCUUUUUGUAUUGUUUUUUUUAUUGCUCUUCGUGUAAAAAUUACAAUCUAUUGUCAUGACCUUUAUAGCCAAUAUUACACUGUUUAUUUCUGUUUUGCUAUUGUUUUGCAUCUGUUCUUGCACGUUGUCUCUGUCCUUUUUUUGCUCUUUUCUUGCAGGUGGCGGAGUCAAUAGAGGGCGAUGGGACGUGCACCUUUGCUAUUUUGGUGCAACGACGAUAGGGGUAGACCUCGGGACGAGCAUGCUGAUGUGGAAUGAAGAGUGGCACCAAGGGGGCUAGGGUUUCUUUUCUUUUACUGAAAAUGAUUAAGUUUUUUGGACCAUUGGGUCUCUUUUUUCAUUUGGGCUUGCAAUAUUUUUAUUUUGGUUUGUAAUUAAUUUUUUUUGUUUAUUUGUAAAUUGGGCCUGAGCGAAAUUGAGCUAUUACACUAGGUAUUAUGUCAAAAAGAGCAGAUAUAUUGGACUGUAGAUAUAUAGCAAGGGCUAACAAAAUAAAAUUUUUUCCCUUUAAUCCUUUGAAUAUUUGCAAAGUUUUAAGUUAAUUUAAUAGUAAAAUUGUAUUUCAAUCUCUCCUAAAAUUUAAAAUUAAAUUAUACUCUAUAUUUUAAUCCCUUGAAAACCGUGAAGAUAAUCUUCAUCUCAUGAAACGAAUAAUAUCUCAUUAUGAGCACAGUUCAACCAUAGUAAACAAAUUUCAAUAAUUGCAAUUCUUUUACUAUAAUGAUGGAAGCAACAAGCAAUUUUAAUAAAGCUUGGCAUUUACUGUCUAAACUUCAAUAAAAUCACAAACCAAUAAAGCAUUAUAUAAAAAUCCAUAAUUUAUAUAGUUAUGUUAUGGUAUUCGCUAUUAUGGAUUUAUUAUUUUAUUAUUUGAUUGGGUCUUGACUCAUGGUCUAUAUGGUUCGCACUUUGAGUUCGCAUGUUAGGUGUUCGUAUCCUUCUAUGAGACCGCAUGAUGUGAGUUCCCACCACCAUGAAGGUGAAUCUACAUUUAGAAAACAUGUUGGAAAAAAUGUAAUUUUUGAAAACUUUGAGGCAUAUUCUCGAUUGGUAAAGGUGGAGAGUUGAAUCAUAAAAUUAUGGUUUUAUAUUCUACUCCAUGAGACCUUUACAACGGUAUACCAUAUGCUCAAAAUGAAUGAGUGAUUAAUGAGAAAUUGAUGCUCAAAGUAAGCUACUUGUGAAUAUUUGUUGAGAAAAAGAAAAGCUUAGAUCUGUCAUUAGUUAAAUACCAAGUGUGAGAUGUGUAUAUAUAUGAUAAUCCACUUAAGAAUUAUUGAAUGAUUAAAUUAAUGCUUUUCCUUACACGUAAGGGGUGUAAAUCUAAAUUCAUUGAGGUUGAGGGCAUAUGAUGUGGCUGAUGCAAAAUAUUUGUUUAAAUGUUGUAUUAUUUUCAUUUUCUUCAAUAAACCCACUACCGACCGCAUCCGCGGAUUUUAUCGCACGUCGGCUCUUACACCAGGCAAACUGUCCCCCGGUCUCGUAAAUAGCGCUGAGGAGCUCUUCUUUGCUGAUACGGCCAUCAUUGUCGGCAUCGAAUUUUUUUAACCACUGCUUGAAUUCGUCCAUCGUCAUGAUACGUUUUCAGUCCCUAGAGAUGCUCUUAUAAGUCUUGAUGGCCAUAACAACACAGCAAAUUAAUAAAAGAUCUUAUGUGUUUUCAAUGCUCACAGUAGGUGACAAUGGCCUUUAGUUCCGUGAAGAGUACAACCCGAAUUUAUGCUAUAUCAUAUUUCACUUUACAUAUGUUCCAUGUGUUAAUCAAAAUAUUAAAAUAUAAACCACUGCCUUUCUUUUCACUUUAUUAGAUUCUACAAUAAGUUUUCUUCCCUUUAAUGUUUAAUUUGGUAUUUGAAUUUUUUCUUCUUAUUAAUUUAGUACUUAAAUUUAAUUUCGAUGUUCACUUUGGUACUUGUGUAUUUUCAUUUGAUAUUUGAGUUUCUUGUGUCCCAUUUAAUUUAAAUACUUGAGUUUGACUUCAAUGUUUGAUUUGGUAUUUUAGUGGUUUUGUUUUUGUCUCAAUUAAGUACUUAUAUAUUUUUACUAGAGCACACACGUCAAAUAUUCACUGGGCUACAUGAUGUCAUUUGGUCUGGGUACUAAAUUAAUCAUUGAAGCCAAACUUAGGUACCAAAUUGAGACAAAAAAAGAAGAUAAAAUUGAAUAUUAAAACUAAAUUCAAGUACCAAAUAAUAUAUUAACCUACUCUAGAAUUAAAAGGAAUUUAAUCUAAUUGGCAUCGCAAUACUUACUCAAACAUGUAAAAUAUCUUUAAUUACAAUUGAUUAUACUUAAAUUUAAUUACUGUACUAUAAGUUCUGAUCAUAUAUGCUAUUUUUUAUACCAAAAAAUUCAACCCUUAAAUAUGAGGAUAAUAGGCUUCAGCACACUUGAACCUAUGUCAUUCUGCACUGAUAACAAUACCGAUACCAAUCAAACUAAGACUCAAUCAACAUUAAAUGUAAUCUCUUAAAUGUAAUUGUAGAAAGUAAUUAAAUUUAAUUAGUUAAAAGUAGAAAAAGUAAUUCGGUCGAGUCGUAUAAUAUACUUUCUUAAUAAAACUAAAAUUAAAUAAUUUCACUUUCUUCCACAUGAGAAACACGACCCUUGUUUCAAAGCAUGUAUGUAUUAUUUAAAUUAAGUCCAUAUUACUAUAGCUCAUUUUGAGAGUAUGCUUAGAAUUAUUCAUCGUUUCUUCCUAACUUAUAAAUAGACGGAUAAUGUGCUUCAGCGCACUCAAACUCAUAUCCUUACAAUACCCAUACUAAUCAAACUAAUACUCCAUCAACAUCCUUAGCUUAGUUUUAAAAUAUAUAACUAUUAAUAUAAGAUAUUACUAAUAUUUUAUAAUAUAUAAAAAAGAAAAAUAUCCAUUGAAUUGGCUGAAUUUAAGCUUAAGUAUAAACUUGUUUUUUUCAUCGGGCUUGGUAAAUAGAUCUACUUUUAACUAAAUUUAGAAAGUUUGAACGUUUAUGUUCAAGUUCUAUCAUGUAAAUGGAUUUAAGUUUCAUUAUGUGUGGGUCUUAAUUAAGUUAUAUUUCUAUUUUAAAUUUAUUAUAUUUUAUAUUAAAUUGAUUUUAAAUCUAAUUGAUCGGAUAUAUUAUUUAUAAUUUAUACCUAUACCUAUAAUUGUACUAUAGACUAAUUGGAAAUAAUUUAGAAAACUAGAAUAUAUGCAAUGGAUUUUGACAAGGACGCAAGGGGUUAGGCAAAAAAGUAGAGAAAUGGAAUAACUUCAAAAUUAACCAUUGAUACCCCAUUUAAUAUAUGAGAAGGGAUUAUAUGAAAUUGUGAUUCCACGUCAUUCCUGUCCGUUUCUAAUAGGAGAAUGACAAAUCAGAAUUUUUGUCCUGAUUUUCAGCUUUUUCCUCUUGAAAAAAAAUUCAAAUUCAAGUAAAAAUGCUAAAAAUCAAGAGGAAAAAUCUGAUUUGUCAUUCUCCUAUUAAAAGGGGAUAAAGAUGAUGUAGAAUCACAGUUUUAUAUAAUUCUCUCUCUAAUGAAUACAUUUUCAAAUUUUUUGUUUGUAAUCAAUAAUGUUGUUUUAAAUCUCUUCAUAAAUUCAUAUUAAAAAUCAUAUCAAUAAGCCAACUACAAUUAAUUAUAUCAUUUGAAAAUUAAAAAAAGAAAUUUACCCAUGUUUUAACCUUGCCCAAAAGCAAUAAAGGGGAAUCCAAAGGUCAUUUCGUGGGAGGAAUCCAGUUCUCUGCAUAAGCACGUGGUGGACUUUUUAACACUGAAAUAGUGUUGAUUCAAUGAAAAAAAAAUUAAUGAACAGUGGUGACUUUUAUUUUCUUGCAUUCAAAUUACCAUGGAAAGCUGAUUUCAAGGGCGCAAAUCAUUUUAUAAAGUAAUUUUUCCAAAGAUCUUAUUCUAAUUUUGUGGUUUUUAUCUAUAUUAUAUUGAUUCAAGAGAAUAAGGCUCAGACCCAAAGAAAUUAGUAACUCCAACAAGCUUCUAGAAUCUCGGUAUCUAUAUAACAGGUAGCCAUUAAUUCGACAAUCAUACAUUGUUAGACAAAACACAUUAACGAACAAAAUAAAUUAAAUAUAAAUAAAUACAUAUGAAAUAAAAUAUAAAUAGAAUGAUCUAUAAUUAAUUUAUCAAAUACGAAAAUUAAAUAAAAACAUAAUAAACAAUUGAAAUAAGGGAGAAUUGAGAUUUUACGAAAUGUUGAGGCCUGUGAAACAUAGUUUCCUUAAGAUAGAUUCGGCCGCUCCUACGGUACUUGAAGAAACGUUGGUCGAAUGUCUCCCAGGAUACAACAACAACAGUGAUCAAAAUAGUAGCAUAUCUAGAACGUUUGAAAAAUACGGAGAGGAAAAGGAAGAGUUUUGAAUUGAACAGAAUUUCGGUAGAAGAAAUUAUUAGAAUGUGUGUAUAAUCCUACAGAAUACACAGCCUUUUAUAGGCAUUUAGGAUAGUGAAAAUUUGGAAAUAAUCAUAAAAUCUGCCAUUAAGGAGUAAAAAAAAAUCAAUUUGAUUUAAAAAUUAUAUCAAAUCAGAUACUGUCCAUAUAUAAGCAGAUUAUGUCUGCUGAGGAAAAUAAAUUCGUGUUCGGCUUAAAAUAUUUAUAAGCCCAUUUGGGCCUGACUGAUCCGAACAUAUCGUGUCGUUCACAUCGUGCAGGUGCGCCCCAACUCCGUCGGGUUUGGACCUGCACCCCCUGCGCGUGAGACAAGGUUAUAAACUUAGUCAUUCAAUUACCUUUUAAGAGAGUUUACAUAUAUAAACACAUCUCACACUUGGUAAUUAACUUGGUUAUAAACUUGGUAUUUAAAUAAUGUGAGAUCUAAGCUUUUACUUUUCCUCAACAAUAUUUCCAAGUAGCUUACUUUGAGCAUUAAUUGCUCAUUCAUCACUCACCCAUUUUGGGCAUAUGAUAUACUGUUGUAAAGGUCUCAUGGAGUAGAAUAUGAAACCAUAAUAAUAUGAUUCAACUCUCCACCUUUACCUAUUGAGAAUGUAGGAGCCCAAUUUUGCCUGGGCCAAUAAUAAAACAAAACCAAAAAUAAUAAUAUAACAGUCUAUUUACAAGGCUCGAGAGCCCAAAGAAAUAUUACAAGCCCAAAUGCAAAAAGAGGCCCAAUGGCACAAAAACUUAUUUUUUUUAGGAAAGUCAGAAACCUUAAGGUUUCUGCGCACUGCCGCCUUCACCAUGUCAACACGAACGCCGCUCGAGGCUUGCCACCAUUUCACCAAAACAGCAAGGGAGCGCCUUUCCCCACUGUUGACUCCACCGCCACCUGCAAAAAGGAAACACAAAGACAGAAAUAGUAGAAAAACAAUGAAAAAUAACCGUGUAUAAUCGGCUAUAAAAGCCAUCACAACAGCAUGUAUUUUUUCACGGAGAGAAAUAUACACACGAACAAGCAAUCAAAACAUAAUACAAAAAAAAACUUCAAAGGUGACUCUUUUUUUAUCUACUAUUUUUUAAGAAAACAUAAAGUAAAUAUAAUUUUUUUUACUUGAACGUCGCUUCGUAUUCCACCUUCGAGAGUGUACAAGGACACCGUCCCCGAUGAAAGACAGUUCUUUCCAGCGUAAUGCCUCCGAAUCGUCUUCGUUUCGCCUGAGGACCACGUCGGAGAGGAAGGUGCAGGGAACCCACCAAAAUACAGAGAAAUCGAAAGGUUUUUUUUUCUUUUGUUUUCAUGGGGCUUUAGGUGAUAUUAACCCCAGAUCGGGGUUUUGGGGGUCAAAAUGGCAAAAAUGGGAGUUGGCCCAUGUUUUCUGGCCACUAGAGACGGCGGUUCUCGUUGUCGAUGAUUCGUGGCCGCCGCAAGAACUCUCCAAACCUCGGGGCUGGACAUGGGAAGGCAGAGAGAAAAAAAGGUGUCAAAUUUUAUUUUUUUUAAUCCUGGUUCAAAAAUGAAUUUUUUGGAUUUUAUUUGGCAUAGAUAGGGACAUUAUACGGCGUCGUUUGGGGUAGGUCUCAGAAGCCCCAAAAUGACGUCGUUUUGAUGCAACCCGAGGUUCGACCCGAACCACCUCUAGGAUCCACGUGUUUUUUUCCUGGGGGUAUUUGCAACUUUAGUCCUUUCGCGUUUUGAGUUGUUUUAAUUUAGUCCUAAUUUCACUAUUCUUUCUUUUAGAAAUUAUGCCAUUAAAUUUUAUUCCGCUUUCAAUUAGUCCUCGGUUCGCUGAUCUUCUGGAGAAAGGACGCGUGUCCUGAGGAUCGAAAUAAUUGCUUAUUCGGUCCGGGUCUAUUUUCGCAUUUUUCAUUUUAGUAUUUUUUGUACUUGUUUUAUCACAAUUUAUGCUUUCAAUUUCAUUUUAAUUCUGAUUCAGUCAUUGGUUUAUUUAAUUUCAAUCUUUCAUGAAUUUUUUCAUUUAUUUAUUUAUUUCUUUACUCUUUUUGUAUUUAAAAUUUAUAUUGUCCUUUAUUAUUUUAUUUGCACAUUUUGUUACUCCUAUUAUUAUUAUUAUUAUGAAUUGGUUUUAUUAUUAUAUUUAUAUUAUUGUCAUUUACAAGUAUGACAUUUUAUUUUUCGUAUAUCAUUAUUCCAUUUUUAUACACUACCAUUUCAUUUUAGUUUGCUAUAAUCGUGUCACGAAUCGCGUUUAAAUAUAUUUAUCCAUUUUUGUACUAUACCCAAAUAAAUUAAAUAUACAUUGAUUUAAAUGUUACAUUUGUUAUUACUCGAUGAAGGAAAUUUUAAAAUUAAGGCAAUGUUCUGUAUUAGGAGAUUCGAGAAGUUAUACCCUAACUUACGGAGUUCGACUUUCUCUUUGAACCUAGAUAACUGAACAUCCUUUUUAAAACUAAAACACAUGAGAUUUAAGUAGUGAUUAAAUGAUAGGCAAGCUUAUUUUCGAGGAUUCAAGAUGUUGUGUCCUAACUUACGGGACAUGAUCUUUUCUUUUUGGUUACCUCGAGAUAAGGAGGUCUUUUACACAUGUUUUAAUUUACUUAAGUGAUUUUAAUUAAAAUAUCAUCAUGCAAGGAGGGAUCGUAUUUUAAAUUCUCUUCAAAUUUUCAUUUCUCAACGCUAAGACAUCAAGUAAUCAAUUAGGUACCAAUUUUAGGCGUCACGAGGGUGCUAACCCUUCCUUGUGCGUAAUCAACUCUCGAACCCAUUUUCUGGAUUUUGGUAGACCGAAAAACAUUGUUUUAGUAAAUCAAACCUCUUAUUAAAACGAUCAAAUUACGAGGUAAUCUAAUCACACCUCAUGAAAGUGAUUGGUGGACACUAUUUUUGUUUUUUAAAUAAAAAGUCGAUUUCAAAAAGGUUUCGACAGAGAAUAUGCCUCAAAGUUCUCUAGUUUUUUCCAACAGGUAUUUCGAUUGACAUCGGCAUUGUUGUCAGUGCAGGAAGAUGUGGGUUUGAGUGUAUUGAAGCGCAUUAUUCUCUUAUGAGGAAAAACUAUAUAUAAUUCUAAACAUUGUAUAAAAAAGAUUAAAUAGAUUGUCUUGUCGAGUUAAUGACAUCAAUUUCGGUCAAUCACAUGCGCUAAAUGACUUAACCUUCACGCACUCCAAGAAGAUUCUCAAAUAUUCAGUUGGUACAUGAUAUAUGGAAAAACGAGUAGCCAUCAAUUUGACAAAUCAUAUUACCUUAAGUUAGCCAAUCACACGUGUAAGAUGACUUGGUCUUCAUGCACUCUCUAGAUUGAGCUCAUUGAUAUGAUCCAUAAUUGAAGUAUCUUUAACCAUCCGGGUUGAACAAAUGGUAUAUCAGAUGCAUCUUGUUCGUUGUAGAUGAGGCUUUUCGUAUGUGUUUGAUAUCGUCUUCAUUAUAUCAGUCGUUGUUGUUUCCUUCUUGAUGUUGUACGCAACGUUCUUAUCCAAAUUCAAUAGAAUAGUUCAUAAGGCUUUUCCAUUUAGUAAUGACCAUGUGGGCAAGAUCAAUAUUUUUUAGGUUUUUAUCUCGAAUAAAAACUCGUAGCUUCUUUUGAUGCAAAUAAUCAUUCACCUACGUCUUCAAGAAAUCAAAAUCAACACUUUCAAAUUUCUCAAUUCUUACUUUGUCAAUACCAUACAAUUAUCAUUCUCACUUCUCUUUUUUAACCUGAAGCUCUGAUACUAUUUUUGGGAAAUGAGACCUUAAUCUAAAUAAAUAAGAACACUAAAUUUACAUGAUUUAGGUAAAAACCUCCUACGUCCGCGGUUGCACUAUGCUUUUCACUAUGAAAAAGAGAAUUCCACAAAUCACAGUCAAAUUAUUAUUGUCAUUGGUAGUUUCCGUUAAAAUUUGUCAACAUAUUUAUUUAACAUUAAUCAUAUGCUACAUUAUAUAAGGGUAGCCUAAUCAACAUGCUAAAUUGACAAAUUUUGACGAAAAAUACUUACGAUUUUAAUGAUUGAAUUGAGAUUUUUAAAUAAAAAAAUAGGAGGACUUAAUUUUUAACUUUUUAAGUACAAUGAUUUAAUCUCAAAUUUUAUCAAAGCACAAUGAUUAAUUAACAUAAUAUUUUAACAAAAAAAUCAAAAUUCUAACUAAACUCGAUUUAUUCAUUCAAUCAUGUUUAAAACAUUGGUCCAAGCAAUCAUUUUAUUUUAUUAAUUAUAACCAUAGAUAUUCUCAUCCAUUUUAUGGUUUGAAUUUAAUCUUGUUCAGGCCAAAAGUGGUAUUCAAGUAAAAUCCUUCCAACAAUGAUGAUUCUAAGAUUCGAACUUUUUUUUUUGCUCGAUCAAAUUAUUACACAUUUUAAGCAUUCGCAAAUAUGUUAUAAUCUGCAAAAUGCGGCACUCCCCCAUGAAAAAUGUCCCUAUCCCAAGUAUAAAUCACCAAAAUCUCAUAUCAAUAACAUCGUGAUUCCAUACCACCAGACCCCCAAAACCCCCUCUGUUAUUCUGCCCUCUAAAAACGAUUGUGCAAGCCACCGAAACAUAAUCCCCAUAUAACCAAAGAUCCUUUAGACACUAACAGCUAACCAUUCUUCAAAAGAAACUCAACAACACCACUCAUGAUAUAUUCAAACUUAAUCCAAAUACCCGAGAAAGAAGCCCACUGUCACUCCUUCCAACCACUUGUUGAUUCAAGCAAUCAUUUUAAAGUUUAAAAUAUGAGUUUAAGAAAGAAAAAAAAGAAGAAGAAAUGAAAGAUCCAUUAACAAAGAUUGCAAUUCAUCAUUGAAAUCAUCUUAUAUAUACGGAUUGCAAUGAAAAAAACUCGUCUUUUUUCCAGCAUAUGUAAUUGCUGCAACACAAGCAAACAACAAGAAGCAAAUACAUACACACAUACAUAUAUAUAUAUAUAUAUAUAUAUAGCUAAUUCCCGUAGAUCAACCAUCUUAUUAUACGACAUAUACACACACAAGAUACAUUAGUUGAUGCCAUAUCCUUGCUUGGCAACAUAUUUGACAAGCUCAUCCAGUUCAUCCAAACUGAUGGUUCCAUCUCCGUUGCCAUCGGCAUGGUGCAAAGACCGACGAACUCGCCAACUUGGGUUCCGGGAACCGAGUUCACGGAAAGCUUUCAUCAACUCGUCCUUACUUAGACAACCAUCACCAUUGACAUCGUGUUUUCUAAAGACAGCCUUCAAUUGCUCUUCAUUGAGGCUAAGGUUUAUAGAUUUUGGCACAUAAAGAGGCAUGUUGGCAAAGGGGGACAACUUAACGGGUUUAGAACUACUUGAAUUUGCUAUGUGAUCAAAAUACGUUACUAGAGGCAUGAAUUUAUAUAGAAAUUUCUUGACCAUAGUUCACCACUUUUUCCUAUGUUUUAUUCUUAAUUUCUCUCCUCUCUUUUUUUUAUGGACCCUUUUUAUUCUUAUUCUCUUCCUUUUGUAACUGUUUAUUAUAGGGAUCAUAUAUAUAUAUAUAUAUAUAUAUAUAUAUAUAUUACUCCAAUAAAAAAUACUGAUCUUACUAAUAUAAUUGUGCGAAUUUAUCAGUGUUGUUAAAAUUUUUGUUUUCUUUUAACGAAUUGCUGACAUGGUACAUUUGCUCAUUAAGCAACUGUCAUGUGGCAUUCUUUUUGUUGACUUUUGACUAAAGUUUAAGGAAAAAAAAUUUUGGACUAAUUAUAAGGAGGUCUCUAAAAUUUAGUCAAAAGUCAACAAAAAUGCCACGUGUUAAUCACUCAAUGUGCCAUGUCAGCAAUCCGUUAAAAGAAAACAAAAGUUUUAACGACAGUAACUAAUUUACACAAUUAUCUUAUUUAGAGCAAUAAAUUAAGAAAAAAUUUGAAGUAACCAAAAUAAGAUAAACUCUAUUUUAGAGUAAUCAUAAGUGUAAUUUACUCUAAUUUUAUUCUUACAUACCAGGAUAUAUAUAUAAUUUUUGGGUAGGGGCAGAAAUAGAUAUUUCUAGACUUUGAAGGUUAUUAUUAUUAUGGCUUCACGUUUUUAAUAGUACUUAGAUGUGUUAAUGAGUUCGAUUGGAUCAAAUUGUGGCUUGAUUUUAAAAUAAAAUUAUUCAGACUCAAGUCCAAGCCUGGCCCUCCCAAGUUUGCACAAAGGUUGCUUUUACUAUUUAAAAUAUAAAACAAUAUUUAUUUAAAUUAAUCUAAUUGUCAAAAAUAUAGAUAUUAAAGUCUGACUUAAUUGUGAAAUUUAGAGGUAAAAAAUUAUAUUAUCCUUAACUUAUAAUUUAUCCUGAUUUUUGCAAGAAAAUAAAUUUUAAAUUAAGUUGGAUUUUCAUUUUUUUAAAAAGAAAUUUGUUAACAUAUUUAUUUAACGUUAAUCAUAUGCUACAUCACAUGAGGGUAGCCUAAUCAACAUCUCAAAUUCACAAAUUUUGACAAAAAAAAGUUCUUAUAAUUUUAAUGAUUGAAUUGAGAUUUUUAAAUAAAAAAGUAUGACUUAAAUUUUAACUUUUUAAGUACAACGAUUUAAUCUCAAAUUUUAUCAAAAUACAAGGAUUAAUUAACAUAAUAUUUUAACAAAAAAAAAUCAAAAUUCUAACUAAACUUGGUUUAUUCAUUCAAUCAUGUUCAAAAUAUUUGUCCAAGCAAUCAUUUUAUUUUAUUAAUUAUAACCAUAGAUGUUCUCAUCUAUUUUAUGGUUUGAGUUUAAUCUUGUUCAGUCUGGAAGUGGUAUUCAAGUAAAGUCCUUCUAACAUUGAUGAUUCUAAUUUAUAAUAUUCGAUCUUAAUCCAAAUACUCGAGAAAGAAGCUCACUGUCACUCCUUCCAACCACUUGUUGAUUCAAGCAAUCAUUUUAAAGUUUAAAAUAAGAGUUUAAGAAAGAAAAAAAAGAAGAAAGGAAAUAAAUAAUGAAAGGAGACAAGUUAAGACCCAUCAACAAAGAUUGAAAUUCAUCAUUGCAAUCAUCUUAUAUAUACGGAUUGCAAUGAAAGAAACUUGUCUGUUUUCCAGCAUAUGUAAUUGCUGUAACACAAGCAGCAUAUGUAAGAAGCAAAUACAUAUAUAUAUAUAUAUAUAUAGCUAAUUCCCAUAGAUCAACCAUCUUAUUAUACGACAUAUACACGCACAAGAUACAUUAGUUGAUGCCAUAUCCUUGCUUGGCAACAUAUUUGACAAGCUCAUCCAGUUCAUCUAAACUGAUGGUUCCGUUCCCAUCGCCAUCGGCAUGGUGCAAAGAACGACGAACUCGCCAACUUGGGUUCCGGGAUCCGAGUUCACGGAAAACUUUCAUCAACUCGUCCUUACUUAGACAACCAUCGCCAUUGACGUCGUGUUUUCUGAAGACAGCCUUCAAUUGCUCUUCAUUGAGGCUAAGGUUUAUGGAUUUUGGCACAUAAAGAGGCAUGUUGGCGAAGGGGGACAAAUUAAAGGGUUUAGAACUACUUGAGUUUGCUUUGUGAUCAAAAUAUGUUACUAGAGGCAUGAAUUUAUAUAGAAAUUUCUUGACCAUAGUUCACUUCUUUUUCCUAUAUUUUAUUCUUAAUUAUCUCCUCUCUCUCUCUCUCUCUCUCUCUCUCUCUCUUUGGACCCUUUUUAUUCUUA